rnacentral:lncRNA from 1 species
CAAGACAUUUUUGGAACAAUAUAAGAUUUUUCAAUGGACACUUCUCAUUUACAUCUCUUUAUUGCCACCUAGACAGUGCGACCACUGACAUGAAAAAAGCUGGUAUUUACACCUUUCGAGCUCAUGGCCAGAUGUAUCACGAUAUACAAUCAUUUGGAAAUAGUUGCUCAGAUCCAAAGCAUCUAGAGUUGUACUUCUACGAUGAUGAUCCAAGCCUAGAGCAUCAGUAUCGAUGCUGCCGUGAAGAAAAGUACAAGCAAGACAAACAUGUAGUCACAAUUUUAACACAAAUUCUACGUGAAAACCCAUAAUCUAAACAGUUUAGAAGUUUGGGACAGAAUGAAAAACUUGAUGACUACAGGCUGAUCUUGAACCUUGACCAAAGAUUAGACCAAAAACCAUACAAUGCACCAAUAACUUUAGAGGUAGCUGUAGUGUGGAUCAAGGGAAAUGAAAGAAGAAAUACCUUUGACAAGAAUGUAAUACUACAUGGAAACAACAACGAAAUACAAGGCAUCAAAUCAUACUAUGGCUGCUAUGAUCCAUUAUCUUAUCCUCUAUUCUUUCCAAGAGCUGAACUCGGUUGGCAUUGAAAUAUCCCAAGGGCCAAUACAAUAUUGGAAGAAUUGAGAAAUGAUAAUGUUGAUCGCAACAAUAGUGACAACGACCCAGGUUAGAAUUUCAUAUACUUUUGUCUUCUAAAUUUAGUUUACUAAUAUGAAACAACUACAUAAAUAUUCCUCUAACUUUAGCGUUCCAAUUCUUACACAGAUUCAAGCAGUAAGCUGUGGGUAACCAUGAGAGAAUAUUACUGCUAUAAAUUCCAUGCAAGACCAAGCAUAUUCAACCCAAUAUUGCAUGGUGGUAGACUUUUUCAGCAGUUUGCCGUUGAUUCAUACAUCAAGAUUGAGAGCUCCAGAUUGGACUUCAUAUGGCAUCAUCAGAAAGAAAUAAGGGCAGAUCUAUACAAAGGCCUCCUGGAUAGCAUUCAAGAAGGAGAACAAAAGGGAGAUAAAGUAGGAAAACGAACGGUGCUAGCAUCAUCAUUUAUUGGAGGGCCAAGAGAUAAAUUGCGACGAUAUCUAGAUGCUAUGGCUUUAGUAAGCAAAUAUGGAAAGCCAGACAUAUUCCUAACAAUGACCUGCAACCCAAACUGGGAAGAGAUCACCCGAGAACUAGAGUUUGCACAAACUCCUCAAGAUCCCCCAGAUCUCGUGGUUAGGGUUUUCGGGGCAAAACUAGAAGAAAUGAAGAAUCAAUUGUUUAAAAAGCACAUUCUUGGAAAGGUAAAGGCAUAUACCUAUGUUGUAGAGUUCCAAAAGAGAGGCCUACCUCAUGCACACUUUUUGCUGAUAAUGACCGGAAAAUACAAGUAUACAUGUCCAGAGCAAUAUGACAGAAUAAUCUAUGCCGAGCUGCCAGACAAGCACGAGUAUCCAGAUCUAUAUAAAAUGGUCAUCAAACAUAUGAUGCAUGGUCCUUGCGGCAUAUUAAACAGAAAUUGCCCUGCACAAAGAAUCGAGCAUCUUGCAAACACAAUUAUCCAAGACCAUUUAAUGAAACUACAAUUCAAGGCAAGGACUCCUACCCAUGGUAUAGAAGAAGAAAUGACGGUCGCACUGAAACAGUCCGGAACUGUAAACUAGAUAACAGAUGGGUUGUUCCUUACAACCCAUACCUAUUGCACUUUUUCAACUGCCACAUAAAUGUUGAUGUAUGCUCAAGCAUUAGAGCCGUUAAGUAUCUGUUCAAAUACAUCUACAAGGGACAUGACCGGGCCUCUGUAUCUGUAACUGGAGCAGAUGAUGAAGGAGAAAUUGAUGAAAUUAGAUAGUACAGAAACGCACGGUGGGUUACACCUCCAGAAUUAAGCAUGCAAGUGCUGAGAGCCGAUAUAUAUCUUUGACUCUAUUGGAAGUGUUUGAAGUGAGCAAUACAUCAUUUUAUAUAAAUCCAAUCCAUUUGAUCACAUUAAAAUUCAUGAGACAAGUCUCUCUGUCCCCGUUAAGUCAUAUAUGAAGGGUCAAAACAAACUGGUAUAAAAAGCAUGUACAUAAACCGUAUGUAUAAUUGGUGGUAGGUUUGCCGGUAUGUAAAAGUUAUAUUGUUUAUGCGGAUCUAUCUAUUUAUACCUAUAGUAAUCACAGAUGCUCUAGAAAAUCCCACGUCAACGAGAAAGAGAAAAUAUCUAGCCAUUGAUCCAUCGUGGCCCCCUUUUUUUAGCCGUUCAGAUUUAAAAAAGUACAAUUAGUUAUUAGUUACUUGCAUUUGGUUAACUUUGCUAGGUUGUUCUAAGGAUAAUAGGUGCAAAUGGACAGUGGGGCCACUGGUGGACGUGCGUUCCUUGACAGAGCAUGCCUACACGAGAACUAAGGAAGACCGGCUGUGUGGACGUGGAGGAUGUGAUAUUACACGAUGCUGGAACAUGGACGGUUGCCACGUUAAUCCUCGGGUACAAAUUAGAAUUCAUUACAAUUUUUAGGAAAAAUAUGUACGGAUGUAUGAUCCGUUAGAGGAAAAGUGAAUAGGACGGACCAAAAUGUUGGAUCCUUUGUUGGAAAAAUGGUUUGAAUUUUGGCAAUGUGAGUAAGGAUUUCCUUUGUUUUGAGAGAGAGCCAAAUAGGAUUACAUUAUUUGUUAAUGUUCGUCUCAUAUUGAUUUUCAACCUUAAAAAAAUGAUGCACUAUUUCAACUACAAUCACAUUAAACAAAACAUAAAAUUCGAUCCAUCUUGGCCUCUCGAGCUAUGUGAGUAGGAGAACAGCAUAGCAAAGAUAAACGAUCUAAUUAAUCUUCCUAGGAAGAGAUUUGAACUCUUGGAAACAACAAAAUGAAAUCAUGCAAUUCGAUUGGCAAAGUGACAAUACAUCAUCGGUACAAUGAUCAAAAAUAGCGAUUCUUGGUGAGGUACAAAUGUAUGAUCCAUUGUUGGGAAAGCAAAUAGGACGGACUAAACUUUUCGUCACAUAUUGAUUUUCAGCCACUAAAAAAAGCGAUGAGGUAAGAUAGUCAUUUGUUUCUAAAUACACAGUACAACAUAGUCAUUGUUUCUAGUCCGUUGCGGUGCGGUGGGAUAAGAAUAAAUAAUCACAUGACAAGACAUGGCAUGGCAGGCUAUCAUGCAACAUCAUGACUAGGGAAAACCAAAAGCACCAAGGAAGAUGAACAGAUUCUUGCUGAUGUCCCAUCACAGAGCAAAUAAAGCAGGAUAAAAGGGGAUUGAUCUUCGAACUAGAAAAUAGGGGAUCGAUCUUUCCAUUGAUCUUACAAAUAAAAGAUAACAGCAUAGCAAAGAUGGCCAGGGUUCCAACAAAAUCUAAAUCUAAAAUUACUAAUUAACAGCAUAGCAAAGAUAACAGCUGGCCAGGGUUCCAACAAAAUCUAAAUCUAAAGUUACUAAUUAACAGCAUAGCAAAGAUAACAACAUUGAUCUUCCACUAGCGCGGCUUGCUCACUCCAUUCACCCCUCGUUCCCGGCCAUGACGUGGUGGCGGCUCCACUUCUUAUGGUUCUCGCCCCUCAGGGGGUGGACCCAGAACGUGGUCCUUGACCUCAUUAAGGAUCCCCCACCGAUGCCUCGUUCCGGGGUAGACAGGGCACGCGAAGGUGUUGUCAGCGCGGUGAAAGAUGCGUAGAGUAUCACCCCGGGGGAAGGGCGUGUGGUAGUCGCAGCGCCGGUCGUCUGAUGAGUCCGUCAGUUUGGGAGUCGGAGUCGAACCCAUCAGCUGGAAGGGUCACAAUCAAGGUCAACUCUUGAUGCGGUGACGAGGGCGUGAGGGUGGAGGAAGCCACCCCCACCGUCGGAGGAGAACGGGAACGCACCGGGGAGCCCACAAUAGCUCCGCAGCGACCAUCCACGAGCGAUAGCAGGUUGAGGUCGGCAGCGUUGGAGCGCGAUCACGACGACGAGCGCAAUGGCCACCCAAGGUCGCUGGCGUCAGAGUGGGAUACCGACGAGAAAGCGCCGCCGUAACGGGACGACCCCACUGCGUGGACGUAGCGCCAUAGCGCUGCCGUGAAGUUGCGGGCAGUGGCGCGGCAGUAGCACGGCGACAACCCGCCACAGGAGCACGACGACGAUGAGAGGGACCUUUAGUCCUGAAUGAUUAGUUUCGGUUGAUUUUUCGAGAGAUAUGAGGCUUACCAAGCAGAACUAAUGCUCAUAUUUCCACUAGUGAGUGCAAGGUUUCCUCGACGCAUAAGACGAUUUAUCCACCGUGGUUCCUAACCACAAGUAGAAAUGCACACAUUUACUAGGGGCGGUUCCUUAAGAGAAGUGUAUUUUCCAGGGGCAGUUCCUUAAGAUAAGUACCGAUAGAAAUCUGGCAGUGUUCAGGUACAGUGCGCGAAAGCAACUGCUAGUGACUGUAGAUAACGAUAUCCAUCGAUACAAAUAAAGGCUAGUAUCACAUCUAAAAACUAGCUUUGAUAUUCAGCUCAGAUCCGUGCCUCUAACUUUUCGUGCUCAUUAUAUAAAUCAUAAAUUUCCUAAAAAAUUAACAAAAUCGUACAUAAAAAUCCAGAAUGUUUAUCAAAAGGUAAGAUUCAAAUCAGUGGUAGAUGUUCAGGAUUAACAACUUUCUUACUCCACAUAUUUUUGUUAGGUGAGGAGGCAUUGCAAGUUUGCAACUGUUGAAUGAAAUCCGUACUUCGAUGGAACUAGGAGGUAGUUGGUUUGAAGUAUAUACCAUUUAGAUAUCUAAUAAUCCUUCCUUUUAUUUCAAUAAAAAUAUUGGUUCCACGAUCAUCUAGGAGUAUGGUCUUGUACUCUCUUCUUGUUCGAGCUUUAUGUGAAUCCAACCCUAUGGAGCCAUAUUCAAUGCUCGUUAAAGAUAGUAACUAUACGGGAGUAAUGAGAAGUUAAAGGGAUGAUUGAGAUAAGACAUGUGGCAUCCAUCAAGAUAGUGAUCCUCCAUGGAACUGAAUUCAAUGCUUGAUAUCGAACCUGUCCUGAAGAUGAAAAGUUUCUCUAUAAAUUUAGACGUCCUAAACUUCAAUUCUUGUGCACACAGAAUCUACUCGCAGUCGUAGGCUCGUAGCUUAUAGACAAAUGACAUUGCAAGCAAUGGCGUUGCCCUACUUGCAAGAACUAGUCAUCUCCACACUUCUCGUUGUAUCAUUGUGCAUGUACAUUAAGUUCUGGAGGCUGAGAAACCCGUUGUACCCCAUGGACUGGCCGGUUGUGGGCAUGCUCCCUUCCAUCGUUGCCAAUCUCCACAACUUCCACGACGUACUCACUGUCUUCCUUGCCACCAACGGGUGUAACUUCAAGGCGCGAGGGCCGGUAGCAAGUGGCAUGCGGUUCUUCGUCACCGCUGAACCGGCAAACGUCCGGCACAUCUUCACCUCCAACCAUGCAAACUACCCCAAGGGCGAGGAUUUUGCUGAAAUCUUCGACAUCAUUAGCGGCACCCUCUUCACCAUUGAUGGUGAGGCCGUCCGCCAGCAGAGAGCCAUGUUCCAGAACAUCUUCAGCAAUCCACGGUUACUUGCCUUGAUGGCAAGUUGCUGCCGUGACAAGGUGGUGAACGGACUCCUCCCGUUCUUGACCCGCAUGGGGAGCACCAGGACAACGUUCGACAUGCAGGAUUUGAUCACAAGGUUGGUGUUCGACCUUACUGCCACGCCGAUCUUCGGUGUCGACCCGGGUUGCCUGUCCAUCAGCAUGCCGUCUAUCCAUGUUGCAACCGCCAUGGACACGUUCAUGGAGGUCGGCUUAUUCCGGCACACCAUACCGGCUUGUUUCUGGAAGGUGAUGAGACGGCUAAACAUCGGUCCAGAGAGGAAGCUGGCCAUGGCGCAAACAGUGAUGCAUGCUUUCAUCAGGGAGAUGACUGAGAAGUCGAAAGCCAGGUGCACCGAUAUCCUUGAUGAUGUGUUGGCCAUGGACAUUAUUUCUGCUAACCCAUCAGUGGGCAGAGACGAUGUCCUACUACGUAAUGUACUCAUCGCUCACAUGAUCGCCGGGCGGGACACGGUUGGUACCACGCUACCGUGGGUAUUCUACAACCUCGCCAGGAACCCCCGUGUGGUCUCUUGCAUCCGCAAGGAACUGGCACCCAUCGCAUCACUCAAGGCCACUGCUCUCGCCUCCAAUAGCAUCAGCAGUAUGGUCGUCUUUGAUCCAAAGGAGACUGAACACCUAGUCUACCUUCAGGCAGCCUUAUUGGAGUCGCUCAGGUUGUACCCACCAGGCCCGAUCGAGCGCAAGGUGGUGCUAGCCGACGAUGUGCUCCCAAGUGGUCACCAGUUGUGCUCCGGUGAAACCAUCCUGAUCUCCAUCUAUGCCAUGGGUAGAAUGGAAUCCCUGUGGGGCAAGGAUUGCCAUGUGUACCGUCCGGAGAGGUGGCUGUCCGAGGACGGUGCUAAACUGCGUUACGUGCCGUCCAAUAAAUUCAUGGCGUUUAACACAGGGCCGAGGAUGUGCCUUGGCAAGGACAUAGCAAUUGCGCAGAUGAAGACCAUCGUUGCCGCGGUGGUGUGGAACUUUGAUAUGGAGGUGUUGGAAGGGCAGAGCAUCGAGCCAAAGCUGUCGUGCAUUCUUCAAUUGAAGAACGGGCUCAUGAUGAUGGUUAAGCAGAGAGAGUAAUCAAUGUGACAUGGAAUGAGCUAGGUGCAAUGCAACUACAGAUCGACUCAGUCCUGGCAUAUAUGGUUUGAACAAAAUAGUUAAAUCCAAACUUAUAAUGAAGUAAAUGGAAGCGUAACAUGUAUUUUCGUCAUUAAAUAAAGUCUACGGAUGCCGUCGUCUGGCCAUCUGAAAGCUGGGAUCAUACCCAACUACAGACUCUUUGAUUUCAGUACUGAUAGUUUGUACUACUCCCUCUUUCUAAAUAAGUGAUGUUUUCAGAUUAUCUUAAGCUUAUUUGAAACUUUGAUGGCAUAUUAAUUGUUUUUCUAUGUGUAAAAGGUAUACGAGUACAUUUAUGUUUAAUAGUAACUUCAUCAAAAGCAUCCGUUCACUUUAUGAAUAUUUUGUGACAAAAACUAGCCAUCACAGUUAUGUUUUUGAGGUAAUUUCAAUAUCAAAAACUUCAUUUAUGAGACCGGAGGAACUAACAUACAAAGACAAUGAAUGUAAAUACAAUAUGCCCUCCGGUGUCCUGGACUUCAUAAGUUGUAUCUGCAAUACUCAAGAGUGAAACGAAAGAGGGCGAUGUCAAUUUGAGUGUAUCAAAAGAGACUUAAAACAUUCAAAUGAUGAAGAUAAAUUGUAUCAAAUCAUAGUCCCUAUUAUACUUAUGUAAUUAGUACAAUUUAUUUAAGUUGGAACAUACUUUUUUUUACCGUGUCUUGAUCCAAGUGCGCAUGUGGGUUUUGCAUGUUUUUCCUGGUAGGAGGCACCUGACUAAUGCGGUGUCUGGAACCUUGGUUACUCCUUUUUAUUGAUUUCCUUCCUUAAGCUACCUGAGCACCCUAGAAUAGUGAUGGGCUGCCAAGGUAUUGGAUCAAAUGAAUUCAGACACCUCUAUGUAUUUAAGGUAUUGGUGUGAGUAGCGUGUAACGACUGAUUCUGUGCUGAGUCGUACCAACCAUAUCGAGGCUUUGUGCACGCUAGCUCAUUCAGGGUGAAAGUCUGCCCCGUCCGUACAUGAUAAGCUCGAGAGUCGAGACAUUGAUUCGGCAGCUGCCGUACGUGUAUGUUUUUGUCCUUCCAUUUGCUGUACGUGUACGUGCUCGUUCCGUUGGUGCUGUGGACGGAGAGCGGCUACUUAGACAUGGACUUCUGCCGAAUCCGCAUGAUGGACAACGACAACCAGGCCCUCGACGCCGUCUUGCCCCGCGAUGAGAACGGCUGCGGCGUGCGAGACGGCACGGCCAUGACGAUCACAGAGGAGAUCUACUGGAGCGACGAGGCCAACAAGACCUGCGACGGGCUUUACGCCGAGCUCACCUGCCGCGUCUACUUCAAGGCCCACGAAGGCUUCAACCUUACCUUGCGCGACGGUGCCAUCUGCCUCUUGCCCACCGACGCCGAUGUCAAGUACCAGCACCAGCACUGGAUCUAGACCCACCUUACGCCGGCUCCCUUCCUCCUCCCUCCCUCCUUUCUUCUUCCUCCAGACCCACCCGAGCCCGAGGUUCUUGCGCCGCCCCCCGCCGCCCCACCCCCAAAUCCACCUAAAAUCCGGCGAUUUCGGUGGGGGAAAGUAGUGGAAAUCAAUCCCUGCUUCGUGUGGAAGGUAUUCCCCUACUUUUUCUCGUAUUUUACCGUUGCAUUUGGUAGAUCGGAGGAUGUUUAGGUGAUUUAGGGUUAGGUAGAUGAUUUCAAUUUUGAAUGAAAUGCAAUGGUGUUUUGUGUUAGAUGAUACGUAGUUCAGACGCAAUUGAGUCUCUGCCCGCGAUAUUGACGUGUAGAACUUGUCGAUUUAGGUAUAUAUUCAUUGAAUUGUGUAGUUGAUAUGACAUGUAUAUUUUUUGUUUGCAAUUUGUCCAAUAUGUGUAAUGUGUCUAGUUGAUAUGUUGAAUAUGUGCAAUGUGUAGUGUAUAUGACAUGGUGAAAUGUUUGUAUUUUGUAGAUGGAUCGUUUAGUUCGUUUUUUUCAUGGUGGUGUUGUGAAACAAAAUGGGGAGUUAGAGAAUAUGAAUGAGUCAAUUGCAUUCUUCGAGGGUCCUCCAAGUUUUAGUGAUUUAGUUGACCGUGUAAUGAGGAAGUAUGGAUGUAGAGUGGAUGAGAUCAGUUUGAGAGGUCGUUUUGAUUGUGGGAAAGCUAGAGCUCAUUAUGUUCUCAUGAAGUUAGCAUCCGAUGCGAAUUGGAAGCACUAUAAGGAUGUAGUUCACGAAGCUAAUGUUGCAUGUUUGGAGGUGUUGAUGCCAGAUUUUGACACUAUGAAAUUGGCGUCAGAAAAGGAAGAAAUCAAGAGAUGCGGCAAGACACGGAGGUCACGAUUGGAAAUCGGCCGAUUGGUGCUACAGUUGAGGAUCGACCGAUUGGUGCUGCAGUGUUUCCGCGAAUGGAGUUGGUGGAAAUCGGCUGAUUGGGAGGCUGGAGCAAUUGGGCCGGUAUGGGCUUAAAGUGAACUAUGAAGAUAAAGAGGGAGUCAGCCCAUGGGAGCGCGAUGAUCAACUCCAGUACGAGUCACACUUGUAAAUAUUUGUUUUCGUUUAAAAUUAGAGAUAGAGUCCUAGUCGGUUAAGAAAUUGGUUAUAACAGGCUAUAAAUAGUCACCUUCGUAGAUCUGUAAUCAUCAUCAAAUCAAUACAACAAACUACUAUUUCCUCACACUUACUUUCGAGCAGGCGACUUCGCCAAUACUUUUCUUCUUUUUCACGAGUUCGUACAGGUUGGCGGGGCUGCAUCAACUUGAUCUCCGGCCGAUUCUGUAAGUUCCGCUUAUCGAGUAAUAUCUAAGCUUUAACUUCGGACGCAUCGCUGUCGUUUCGUUUAGAUUUAUUCACUAGUUAUCGAUAUUCACUAGAAUUCUAGGUCUUGCCUUUUGUUCUAGUUUUAUCACCAGUUAUCCAGCUAGGAAUUGGAACUUUCAGCUUUCUUGUACUUUAUUACUUAAUCUAUCGCUUUCUGCAUAGCCAAUUCAGAUCUAUUCCUAGUAUUGUUACUGUAGCGUUGUUUAGAUUACUCUAGCAGUUUUCUUUACUAACGCUGCCCGGUAAUCGGCCGCAUUAUAGCCGAUUUCUUUAUUACAGCAAAUCAGCCGAUUCGCUGAUAAGCUUUCUCGAGAUCGGAACCUUAGCCGAUCGCAACCUCUGGGAUCUGACAUGUUUCUUUCCUUGCCAAUCAACAGGUCAGAUUGGCUGGCACACCGCGCGAACCGCACUAGGGCAAUCACCCGAACAAGAGUUAAGCAGAUUCUCCCAGGUCGUGUGUCCGACGCUAGAGAUUCGAUCAGCCGAUUUCUAGCGCCAACAGGAGGUUAUAGUCGAAAUUGUUCGUAUACCUGGCCCAAAUGUUGUCAUGAGGGAGGAAGUGGCGGUAGUGAACCAUAAUGGUACCCAGGAGUCAGAAAUGUUGCAUCACGUGUUAGGUGAAACAGAACGUGAUUUUAACUUGGCUAUUGCCAAUGACGAUUUUCCCAAUAACAUUUUUGAGAGGGAUGAAGCAAAUAUAGAUGUCGAUAAUGUCUCUAUGGGUUCCGAAGAUUGUGAAUUCGAGGAAGAUGGGGUAGUAGGUGUGGAGGUAGAGGAGGAAUCACUAUUUGAGAGUGGUGGGCAUGAAUAUAAGGACGACAGGAUAGAAAAUGAAGAGGAUGGACCGCAAUUUGACACCGCAACCGUGCAUGAUGUAGAAGGCAUUCGUCGUAUGGACGAUUGUUUUUCUUACACCCAGAACAAGUUGCGGUUGUUAAAAGAACGUGAUGUCGAACUGCCAUCCAUUCCCAAUGAUAAGGACAUCAGUAUGGUCCACAAAGCAAUAUGUGAAUCUAGUAUGGUGAAUGCCGAAGGGACGUCCGUUGGUGAGAGUCCAGUGAUUAAGAAGGGGAUGAAGUUCAAUAGUCUUGAGGAGCUGAAGUUUUUCUUGGCUGACUACGCAGUGAGGUUACAUAGACCUUUUAGCGUAGUUCACUCUGACAAGAACUUAAGAUACAAUGUGAUGUGCAAGCAAGGAUGCCAUUGGCGUGUAUGGUCUCGGCUAAUAUCAAGCACCGGACAAUGGAGAAUUUCAAAUGUUGUGUAACCGCAUACUUGUCGGUCGUCACAGCCGAAGCGAGAGCAUGUACAGUGCACAGCAAAGUACCUUGGGUGGCGUAUCCUAGGCAUUAUCCGUAAAGACAGCGAGACAUCGGUGCCAUCCCUCGUGGAGUUCAUCUUCGCCUUUAGUGGGUACCGUGUGAAGUAUUCGAAGGCUUGGCGGGCGAAGCAACACGCCAUUGCCCUGCUUUAGGGCGACUGGAAGGAGUCGUACGGCAUGGUUCCUAGGGUACUCUCAGCUAUAACCUACUACAAUUUCGGGGUUAAAUGGUGCAUCGACUCAUGUGGCAUGAUGCAUCCUGACAAUGGAGUUUUGAAGCAUAUACUGCAAAGGGGAUUUUGGUGCUUCCCUCAAUGUAGUGAGGCAUUUCAACAUUGCCGUCCUGUGAUACUUGUGGACGGUACAUUCUUGACUGGCAAGUAUAAGGGUACGUUAAUGAUGGCAGUUGGUGUAGAUCCAGAACAGCAGCUUGUGCCUCUUGCUUUUGCCUUGGCCGAGAGUGAGAAUAAUGAGAGUUGGUCAUGGUUUAUGAAACUUGUUCGGCGACAUGUUCUUGGACCUUCACGGAUAGUGUGUAUGAUAUCAGAUAGGCAUCAUGGGCUCCUAAAUUGUACGAAGGACCACAUGGAUGGUUUUCCACCGCUUGUGCAUAGGUGGUGCACGAGGCACUUUGCUGCCAACAUGUCGCGUCGGCAGAAGAGCAACCGUGUGAUUGGAAAAUUGAAGAUAUUAUGCAAGGUUCAUACGGAGAGAGAAUUUAGUGAGAAGUUAGAAGAUCUAGUGAAGGACUUGAACGAUGACGCAAAAGAAUGGUUGAAGGGUGAAAUGGAGGACAAGGAUAAAUGGGCGUAGGCUUUCGAUGAGGGAGGGAUGCGUUGGGGUAUUAUGACCACGAACUACUCGGAAUCACUCAACGCAGUUUUCAAAGGCAUCCGAAGUAGGCCCGUCUCUGGAAUUAUUGAAUACUCAUUCGAAAAAUGCAACGCCUACUUUGUGGACCGAUAGCAAAAGGCACAUGCAAUGUUGGAUGAAGGCUAUAGAAUUGGGAAAGUUGCAGAUGAUUAUUUAUCAGAGGCUGAGCUUAGAUCCGUGCACCACUUAGCAGAACCGUACGGGCUAGAAAGGAUGGUGUAUUCUAUAAGAAGUUACGGUACGACUAACAUUGGGGGUGAGAGUCAUGGAGGCCGACACUACAGAGUGGAUCUGAACGAAGUUUCAUGCACCUGCAAUGUUCCACAAUUGUUGCACCUUCCAUGUUCACACUUCAUUACAGCUUGCAAGGCAAGAGGUCUUAACUAUGAAAGCCCCUUGUACAUGUCACCGUUGUACUCUAGGGAGCACACCGUCAAAAUAUGGGAAUCAAGAUUUCAACCUUACCUUGAUCCGUCACAAUGGCCAGCAUAUGAAGGGGUAGGGUACGUGCCUAACCCCAAUUUGAUGAGAAAUAAAGUAGGAAGGAGGAAGAAGAAGCGUUUCACAGGCGACAUGGACGUGUCGGAAGGGAGGUUGUUGACGCCAGAUUUCGUCACUAGUAAAAUCGACGCCAAGAAGAGAAGGAAAUGGAGAAGCACAGUUGGGAAUCGGCCGAAUGGUGCUACAGUACGAGAUCGGCCGAUGACUUCCGUCUCGCCUCGGGUCGAGCGUGCCGGGUUCCCAAUCGGUUGCCUCUUGCCGAUAAGGAAUCGGCCGAUUAGGAGGUUGGGUUAAUUGGGCCUGUAUGGGCUUGGAAAGGAAUAAAAGGAUGAGGGGGAGAUCAGCCCAUGAAACGUAGAGUAACCAACCUAGCACGAAUCGUGCUUGUAAAUAUUCGUUUUCUGUUUGAAUUAGGGAUAGAAUUCUAGUCGAAUAAGAAGUCAUCUAUACGGGGCUAUAAAUAGCUACCUUUGUAAAUCUGUGAUCAUCAACAAAUCAAUACAACAUACUACUUUUUCCUCGUACUUACUUUCAAGCAGACGACUUCGUCAUUACUUUUCUCUUUUUCACGAGUUCGUGCGGGUUGGCAGGGCUGCAUCAGUUUGAUCUCCGUCCGAUUCUGUAAGUUCCGCUUAUCGAGUAAUAUCUAAGCUUUAACUUCGGGCGUAUCGCUGUUGUUUCGUUUAGAUUUAUUCACUAGUUAUCGAUAUUUGCUAGAUUCAUAGGUUUUACCUGUCUUUCUAGUUUUAUCACCAGUUAUCCAGCUAGGAAUCGGUAGUUUCGGCUUUCUUCACGUUCUGCUUUUGAAUUCAUCUAUUGCCGAUUAGAUCUGUUCCUAGUGUUGUUAUCUUAGCUCUGUGUCGAUUACUCUAGUAGUUUUCUGUCUACAAGGCUACAGUGAUCGGCUGCCUUAUAGCCGAUUUCUUUAUUACGGCAAAUCGGCCGAUUCGCUGAUAAGCUCUCUCGUGAUCGGAAACCUAGCCGAUCGCGAUUUCUGGACCUGACACGUAUUCUUCCUUGCCAAUCAACAGGUCAGAUUGGCUGGCACGCCGCGCGAACCGCACCAGGGCAAUCACCCGAACAGGAGUUAAGCAGAUUCUCCCGGGUCCUGUGUCAGACGAUGGGAUUCGGUUGACCGAUUUCUAGCGCUAACACACUUUUGGCACGCCCAGUGGGAUCAAUACAACCGCCAUCAUGUCGAAAGCUGCUGAAGUCUCCGAAGAAAACGUCAUCGAGGUGACGGAAGCAGAUCUGAAGGACGACUAGAAGGAAGAACUGGAUAAGUAUACGGCACAGUUCCGGAAAGCUUGCCUACAGUCUUUCAGUCGCUCCAGAAGCGGGGAGACUAUCAAGAAGACUCCGUUCCCUGCUUCCCGCCAGAUCACGAUUUCUGAGGACUCAGACAAAAUGGCCGAUAUGAUUCAACAGUCCAUUUAUCACGCCUUCGUUGAUCAGUCCCCAGUACUUUCAAAUAUGGUGCACAACGCCGUUGUCAACUCCUUCGCUGGUGGGAUACCUCAAGGAUACAGGGGACCGGCAUAUUUUCAGCCGAUUCCACCAAACCAGAAUUAUUCGAGUUCGGUUUCACAGCCGAUCCAAUUUUCUGUCGGGGGUUCAGGUGCUUCCUCAUCAUCAGCUCCUAUGGGGUAUAACUCCAUCCAACUGUCUUCCGCACCAUUCCCUCCAGUUAGCCCAUCACCCUGGGGGGCACCUUCAGCCACGGCCGGUCAGAAUCAAUCGGCCAGUCAAGGAAGCCCUCCAUUCCAGGCAUCUUUCCAGGCGGCCACUCGGCCGACCGUACCGCCAUACCAGCCUGUCGCUCCGGAGGUCAACAAGACAGCAAAGCUCAUGCUGUAUGAUGAAACGAGUGGUUCAUUCAAACAGCCAACCUUUACCACGCAGCCGGCUUUCACCCAGAUGCCACCUGCUUUCACUCAGCCUCCGUUUAUUCCGCCUCCGGUUUACCAGCACGUGCCAAUACCUCAGCCAACGGUUCACCAGCAACAGCCAGAUUGGUCGUCACGUAUUGCGGAGGUGAUGCAAGAACAAUUCGGCUUAAAGCCGAAAGUACAAACUUACACCUACAGAAUACCAUACCCGUCUACAUAUGACCUAUUGCCGUUCCCCCAUCGGUAUAAAGUUCCUGACUUCACUAAGUUUUCGGGGAUGGAUGACACUUCGACCGUAGAGCACGUGAACAGAUUCAUCAUCCAAUGCGGAGAGGCAGCUACGCAGGAUGCCCUACGGGUACGGUUGUUCUCAUCAUCUUUGUCUGGGUCGGCCUUUCAAUGGUUCACGACAUUGCCGCCAAACUCGAUUAUCACAUGGGCUGAUUUGGAAAGACAGUUCCACAAAUACUUCUACGCCGGGGUGCAUGAGAUGAAACUGUCCGAUUUGACCAGCCUCAGGCAAAGAAGUGACGAGCCGAUAUCCUCGUAUGUACAGAGGUUUCGGGAAAUCAGAAACAAGUGCUAUUCCCUGGCUCUAAACGACGCGCAGUUGGUCGAUAUAGCUUUUCAAGGCCUUCUGCCCCACAUCAAAGAAAAAUACGCCUCACAGGAGUUCGAGAGUUUGAGCCAGAUUGUCCACCGAUUGUCUGGAUAGGAGGUACGUUCCUUCGAUCCACGGAGGAAUUUCCAGAAGAAAGUGGCGUUCCUGGAAGAGUUAGAGGACAAGGAAGACGUUGAAGUCGGACUUGCGGAGUGGAUCAAGGGAAAGAAGCCGAUAUCAUGCCCAUUCGGCAAAAAGGAGCCGGAGGUGUUCGGUUUUGACACGACAAAGGCCGAUAAAAUAUUCGACCUUCUCCUCCAGGAAGGACAGAUUAAACUCUCGCCAUACCAUACAAUACCUUCUGCCGAACAACUAAAAAAGAUGAAAUACUGCAAGUGGCACAAUGUCACAUCCCAUGAUACUAAUGAGUGCAAAAUCUUCAGGCAGCAGAUACAGUCGGCCAUUGAGCAGGGCAGACUUAAAUUUUAAGUGCCGACAAAAUCGGCCAAGCCAAUGAAGAUCGACCAGCACCCCUUCCCCACCAAUAUGGUUGAUACGGGAAAGAAUUCACUCCAAACAAAAGUGCUGACGUCCGAAUCGGCUAAAAAGAGUGGCGCCGUCGACCCCAAAAAUCAAGCUAUGCCUGAAGAUGUAAGGGGAAGCGGCGGAUGGAGGAUGACGAUGGCGAAUCAGAAGAGCCACGCAUUACUUCCCAGUUCCUGCUCCAGAAGUACCAACGUCAGCAUGAACGCUCAAGGUCCCGGGAAGAAGCAAUGCGACGGCACGAAGAUCACUGGAGGUGCCCGUUCUUCAUCCACUGUUGGGAAAACAACCUCAGGCUACCUUCGGCCGAUAAUUGCCCAGAAUGCAAUAGUCCAUAUCGUGGCAAUCGACCGUUGAACAGGUCUCGCUCCAGAGACGGAAGGCCAGAGCCGAUCAGCAGGAAUUGGCGCAACCAAGAUGACCAGCGCCCUCCCGUGCAUGAUCGGCUGGGGGGCAGAAGUGACCGAUAUCAUCGGUCGGAAGAUAGACGCCAUGACAGGCAGGGGGGCAUGACUGAUCGGCAUGACCGGUCAGAAAACAAAGCCAACGUUCACAGCUGGCUCGAAGAGAUGGCCGAUGCUCGGGUGACGGACGAAAACCCGUUAGGACGCGAACCGGAGUGGGAACGCGCCAGGACAGGAGCAAGACCAAUAAACCCCAGGUGGUGUCCCGAUGGAUUGACCAAGUCUCAGAAAUGAAGAAUCCAACGUCUCCGCCAAUUGGAACAGCAAGAAGAGGAACAACAGAGCACGACGGACAAGAAGGAAGGAAGGCCUCGGGUGUGGCGUCCCAAAAGAAACAAUAAAGGAGACGACGAAUCGGCGGGUGACGAAUCGGCAGCCGAGAUCGGCAUGGUUUUCAUACUGCCGAUGGAAUUCAUGACUCCCGCCGAUCAACAGGAUAUAUCGGCGAUAGAAGACCAGACGGCACAGUUGGUUUUGGAGCCAAUGAUGGCCACAUUCGAGAAGCCCGAAGAUAGCGAACGACAACACAUGAAGGCGCUGUUCCUUAAAGGGCAUGUUGACGGCCGCCCCCUCACUAGAAUGAUGGUAGACGGAGGAGCUGCUGUCAACAUCAUGCCAUACGCCAUGCUCCGGAAGCUUGGAAAAAGCGACGACGACUUGACUAAGACGGACUUCGAAGGCAACGUGUCAAGCGCUCGCGGCGCUCUCUGCGUCGACCUCACCAUCGGCAGUAAGACCCUCCCUACCACCUUCUUUAUUAUUAAUGGCAAGGGAUCCUACAAUAUGCUGCUCGGCCGGGACUGGAUACACGCAAAUUGCUGCAUCCCGUCAACAAUGCAUCAAUAUCUCGUACAAUGGGUCGGCGAUAACAUCGAGGUGGUCAACGCCGAUUCCGCAUACAGCAUCGCGGCAGCCGACACACAACAGUGGAGCUGCGAAACCGUCAGGUGCAUAUCCGGCAGAGUAUGGGAGACCGAUUUCCUGAAGGUCACCGAUUUUGGCCUACAGCCGAUCCGAGCAGUCGGCUCCGAAGACUCAGAAUAGAUGGAUCAGUUCGCCCGAGAAUAUGGGAAGCUAGGGCACGGGUUCACGUCGGCCGAUUCAUUAGAGAUGAUAGACUUAGGCGAUGGUACCAAACCAAGGCCGACUUAUAUUAGUGCAAAUUUAGACCCAGAAUACAAGUGUAAAUUGACAAAUUUGUUAAAAGAAUUUAAGGAUUGUUUUGCUUGGGAGUAUCAUGAGAUGCCCGGUUUAGAUCGGUCUAUUGUUGAACAUCGGCUACCCAUAAAACCAGGGUAUCGGCCGUACCAACAGCCUGCACGGCGCUGCAAUCCUAAGAUUCUACCAGACAUAAAAGUUGAAAUAACUCGGCUAAUCGAAGCAAAAUUUAUUCGGCAAUGCCGUUAUGCCGAGUGGAUCUCCAACAUUGUACCAGUGUACAAGAAGAAUGGAAAGCUACGCAUUUGCGUUGAUUUCAGGAAUCUUAAUCAGGCCACACUGAUGGAUGGUUACCCCAUGCCGACGGCCGAUGUGUUGAUCGACGCUGCCGCAGGGCACAAGAUUAUUAGCUUCAUGGACGGAAACGCUAGGUACAAUCAAAUACUUAUGGCCGAAGAGGACAUACCCAAAACGGCCUUCAGAUGCCCAGGUCACCUUGGCUUGUUCGAGUGGGUGGUGAUGACUUUCGGCUUGAAGAACGCUGGCGCUACAUAUCAGAGGGCCAUGAAUUACAUAUUUCACAAACUCAUUGGCAUUCUGGUAGAGAUCUACAUCGAUGACGUCGUAGUCAAGUCCAAAGGUCAUGAAGAGCAUCUGGCCGAUUUACGAAGAGUGCUAGAGUGCACCAAGAAACACGGUCUUAAGAUGAAUCCCAAUAAAUGUGCUUUCGGCGUAUCCGCCGGACAGUUCUUAGGAUUCAUGGUGCAUGAACGAGGGAUAGAGAUCAAUCGGAAGACCAUAGCGGCCAUCAACAAAGUCGUGGCCCCGCAGAAUAAAACCGAACUGCAGUCUUUAAUCGGCAAGGUGAAUUUCAUCAGAAGAUUCAUAUCUAAUCUAUCUAGGCGGAUUCAGGCGUUCACGCCACUGUUGAAGUUAAAGCCUGACCAGGAAUUUAUAUGGGGGGAAGAGCAGCGCAAAGCAUUGGAAGAUAUCAAGCGAUACUUGGUCUCGCCACCGGUAUUGGUUCCUCCUCAGACUGGUAAACCGUUUAAGAUAUACUUAUCUGCCGAUGAAAAGGCUAUUGGGUCGGCUCUGGUCCAGGAGUUCGAAGGCAAGGAACGAGUAAUUUAUUAUGUCAGUAGAAGACUUCUGGACGCUGAAACAAGAUACCCUCCGGUGGAGCGUUUGUGCCUAUGUCUUUACUUCUCAUGCACCAAACUCAGGCACUAUCUACUGUCGGCAGAAUGCGUGGUCGUAUGCAAAGACGACGUAGUAAAAUACAUGCUAUCGCUGCCGAUCUUGAAAGGACGAAUCGGCAAAUGGAUCUUAGCGUUGUCAGAAUUCGACCUGCGGUAUGAAUCGGCGAAAGCCGUCAAGGGUCAGGUCAUGGCCGAUUUCGUCGCCCAACACUGCGGACUGGAGAUUGCCCUCGUAGAGCCGGCACCUUGGACAUUAUAUUUCGAUGGGUCAUCAUGUGGAGUCGGAUCAGGAAUCGGCAUCGUCCUCAUAUCGCCUCGGGGGGCAAGCUAUGAUUUUCUCUGCCGAUAGAAGCCGCCGCUACUAACAAUCAAGCGGAGUACCGAGCUGUGUUGAAGGGCCUACAACUAUUAAGGGAAGUCAAGGCCGAUUCUGUUGAAAUCUUCGGAGAUUCCAUGCUUAUUGUGGAUCAACUGACCGGAAGGUCCGAAUGCAAGGACGACGUAUUAAGAAUUUAUUACGAAGAUUGCUUACAGCUCUUAAAAGAAUUUAGAUCGGUAGUAAUCGAACACAUCCCAAGGGACCACAACGAGGGUGCCAACGAGCUCGCCCAGCACGCAUCUGGAUAUCGGCCAAUUCUAGGCGCUAUGGCUCUAGAACUCGCGACCGAUGACUGACGAAAAGAAAUUGCCGACUACCUGAAAGAUCUGUCUAAAAAGGUGGAACGACGAGUACGUUUUCAUGCUACUAAAUACGUACUGCUCGAAGACGACCUAUUCUACCGAAUGAUCGACGGUGUUCUACUAAAAUGCUUUGGGACAGAGGAGGCCAAGACCCUAAUGGGAGAAAUCCAUGAAGGGGUAUGUGGAGCACACCAAUCGGCCCAUAAGAUGAAGUGGAUGAUCAGGAAUAAUGGGUACUACUGGCCAACGAUCCUCGAAGACUGUUUCAAAUAUUAUAAGGGGUGUCAGGAUUGUCAAAAGUUCAGAAAUGUCCAACGUGCACCUGCAUCGGCCAUGAAUCCCAUUAUCAAGCCAUGGUCGUUCAGGGGAUAGGGAAUAGACCUUAUCGGCCAAAUUUACCCUCUAUCAAGUAAAGGGCAUAAGUUUAUUCUGGUGGCUACUGAUUACUUUACCAAAUGGGUGGAGGCAAUUCUGUUAAGAGCUGUGACAUCGGCUAUCAUGGCCGACUUCGUAAGAGAUCACAUUGUCUAUCGAUUCGGCAUUCCUCAGACUAUAACGAUCGAUCAAGGAACAAUGUUCACAUCGGGGGAAUUCGAGGAAUUUACAACCGAUAUGGGGAUCAAAUUGUUGAAUUCUUCUCCGUAUUACGCCCAAGCCAAUGGUCAGGCCGAAUCCUCCAACAAAGGGAUAAUCAAGUUGAUCAAAAGGAAAAUCGAGGAACAGCCAAAGAAGUGGCAUCUAUGUUUGACUGAGGCCCUAUGGGCGUACAGAAUGGCUUGUCAUGGGGCUACCAAGUUAUCUCCCUAUCAGUUGGUGUACGGUCACGAUGCAGUACUACCAUGGGAAUCGAGGGCGGGAUCGAGGCGUAUUUCGCUCCAGGACCAGUUAACGGCCGAUGACUACUCAUCACUCAUGAAAAGGGAGCUUGAUGAUUUGGCUGGCCAACGAUUGAGUGCUCUGAUAAGCAUUGAAGAAAACAAAAAGAAAGUCGCCAGGUGGUACGAUAAGAAGGUCAAAGUCAAACAAUUCUCCCCUGGGGACUUAGUAUGGAAGUUAGUACUGUCGAUUGGGUCGAAAGAUCCUAAAUUCGGAAAAUGGUCCCCUACAUGGGAAGGGCCGUAUAAAAUCGGCAGAUGUGCUCCAGGGAAUGCUUACAUUUUGGAAAUAAUAGAGGGGGAAGAAUUUACUAGAGCUCUGAACGGAAGGUACUUAAAAAGAUACUAUCCCAGUAUAUGGGUCGGAGCAUAAGGGAUUAACCGUAAUACGAUCACACACAGCCGAUACAAAACGGUUCAAACACAUAGUCGUCCAAAUCGGCCGAUGUAUUCAUUCGGUACGGGCGAUGGGUUACACGGCCGACAAAACACAAGUCGCCCUUAGAACAAAAAACACAAAUAACUAAUUAUUCUUCUUCUUGCGCUCCCCCUCAGUCCGAUCCAACUCAUUCAUGAGACAGAGGUAUUCUUCUUCUAUUUCUUUCAUUGAAGCCUCCGCUUCAACUUGGCGAGGGAGAGGAUGGCUCCGGUCCAUGGCCGGGCGCGAAGUUCCUGCCGCCGCGUCUUCAAGAACGACUCGCGGAGGAAGCAGAUGGCUCCUAUCGGUUGGAGAUCGCCGGCUACCAUUGCUCUCCACAAAAUCCAAGCCCACACGAGCCUCCGCGGUGACGUGGUCUUGAAGUUCGUCACGAUGAGCCCUGAUCAGCUCCUGAUCCUCUGACGACAAUGGGUCCUCAGAGUGUAUGAGCUCAAUGGCGCGUACGAGCUCAGGGCUAAGGCGUUGAGGCUGAAACAAAGAAAGAUUAAAAAGGGGGCAUCCUCUUCCUAAGAUCUAAAAGGAGAAAGGGGAGUCGAGGCCAAGGUUUCACCUGGUUGACGGAGGAGGAGGAGGCCGACGAAGACAUGACGGAAGGCCGCACCGACGAGAGGAGUAAAGAGAAUAAAACCGAAAGCCAAACUGGUACCCUCGGAAGGAAGUGCCUAGGCCGGCACUUAUAAGAAAAAGAGGCGUGGAAAUUUGGUAAUGAUACGUCCCAUCGGAAAUAAGAAAGGCAAUAAAUAGAAAGGGCGCCGCGAAGGGUGGUCAAAGCGGAUAGUAAAUGUUCGUACAAAAUAGCCAGUGUUUUACAGACUACCCAGAAGGGUAUCGCUAGCCGCGAUUGCCUGACGCCGGAUCUGAUCGGCAGAGUCCAGGACCCGUUGGUCUUCAUCCGCCGAUCCGGGGACUUCUGAUGCGCUGCGAUGGAGUUUUAGGGCCUCGUGGGCCAAGUGCUGCCUCUCCCGUUUCAAAUCGGCAAUGACAGAAGGGAGUUCUUGGAGCCUCUUCUCUUCGGCACUGAUUGCUUUGGUCACUUGCUCUAUCUCCUUGGCGAGCUCCGCCCUCCGACGCUUGAGGCGGUCUAUCUCACCUAUGAUCCCCGGGCGGGAAUUCUCCAGAAAAUGGAUACGUCGGUGUGCCUCUUGAGCUUGGCGCUUGAACGCGUCCUCCUCUUCACGAGUCUUGGCCAGCUUGGCGCGAUCGGCCAUGUGACGAAGGGCUCUGAAGACCGGGAUCCUCAUAGACUCGAUGAAUGCCGCCGGUGCCAAGGCUUCCUCCGCCUCUUCUGGUACUCGUCCGCUGACGUCACCGAAGAGCUGCCGAAUCGGUGAAGCAUCUUCUACUAAUCGGCCGAUGUCCCCUUGAAGGAGGGAUCGGAUACUAGCGAGUUUGGCUCGGACGUCAUCAGGAAUGGAACUCAAGGCGACUUGGCGGGAAGCGACUUCUUCAUUAUCGGAGAGGGCAACCGCAAAAGAGAAGAGGCUGUUGUCGGGGGUGUCUUGUUCCUGGAGAUAAUAAAGAGGGAGAAAUAAACCGGCUGAAGGUGGAAGCAAAUCGGCUAAAUAAAGCCGGAAUAUAACUUACCACUUUGAAGCGAAUUUCUUCAUGUUGCAUUUGGGAAGCCGUCAUGCCUUGCUCAGGGGCUUGUGCCAUGGGUUCGUCAGAAGAGGAAGACUCCACAACGAUCGGCGCGGUGCUUGGACCAGCUCCCUGAGAAAAGACCGGUGGUUGAGGAGCGCUUGGUGUACCGAUGACCUGUGUCAGAGAAUUGAAUAAGUACAUUAUGCAAAUACCAGGGAAAAUCGGUGAAAUAGAGCUAUACCUCAACGGAUAGAAGUGGGGGCGCGUCGACGGCCGAUUGGGCUGCUGCCGAUUGUCGGAUAUCCAUGGGAGUGCUCUGUGCAGUCUAAAGAUAAGAAGGGUUAAUAUCAGAACAACAAUCGGGAGGAGUAAAACUUAGGUUUACCUGAACGGCCUCCAACAACAAUGACGCGGCGGCUGCUCCAGCUUGUGCCAUGACUUGGGUAUCAUCAUCUUUGGUGGCCUGAGGGGGUGGCGCGGCCGGAGUCUCUGCCGAUACGAGCGUAGGAGGAUCCGCCGAUUCUAUACGAGCUCGGACUCGACGACUGGUUUUUUUGGUGAUCCUCUUCUGAACUUGUUUCGAUCGGCCAGCAAUCACGUCCACAGACGGAGCAUCAUAGCCAAUAAGAGGAUAAGAGGUGUAUGGAUGAUGACUCUCUAUUAGCCGACCACUCCGGCUGUGUGUUGGAGGUGUACGGUUCUCGACCUGAAGAAAUAAUAAAACUAUUAGUAUUCAAUCACGUUAAGAGGAGUAAGAAUCGGCUAAGGAAAAUACCUCGGCAUUCGGGUCAAUGUUGGCUGGAUCCAGGAGGUUGUAGUAUGCCGAUGCCGAAUUGCAGAAGAGAAAUUGCUUCCAAUCGGCCCACCAGAGUUUGAACGGCUGGACAGCAAAGGGAGCUACUAUCCAGUUGUUCAGGUCAAUGGUGUUGGAGUCCGGAAUCCGGUCGCGUACCCGACUGUAAUCCAGACCGGAUGUGAGCUCAUCUUUGAACUUGACUCGGCCAGCAAAAUACACUUGAAUCGGCAGCUGACCCAUGCCGAACUGACGUGCUGCAACGGAAGGGUUGUAAAACUCAUACGUGGGGGCAUCUUUCCCCGAAAAGAAGUUGGCUGGCAAGAUUCCUGGCUUGAUUAACUCAUCAUUGAGCUCUUCGUCAAAUCGGCCAGUGAUCGAAUCGAAGCAGGUGGGGAGUUCAAAGAUUGGGUUAUCCCGCCGAUAAGGAAACCAAACGGUUGCAUCUUCAUUAAAGCCAUUAUAGAAGCAUCGGAAGUACUCGGCUACCUUUGUAGCAGAAUAUGUGCAACCUGGAAAGGCCGAUACUGCUUCACCAAAAGACAUGCAUCGGCGACGUUCAGUAGGAUCUUCUGCCGAUUCAAUGUUGGGAAACAUCAUACGGUCCACCCUAUGCUGAGUGAUCUCGCUCAUGUAGAGGUUCAACCAUAGGUUGAUAAACCACCAGGGUCCGCCUGGAUUUCCGAUCGGCUCUCCCUUGGAUAGUCUGAUGCCGAUUUGAUGGAGCAUGUGGUACAUCGCCCCUAGCAAGUGUUUCCCAAGGGGGACACGGUUUCCUCUGGACAGUGCUUCGGCUAAAGCCUGGGUGUUGGUUGAUGGGCCGGCGGCUCUUCCACAAAAGAAGUGUUUUUCUAACCACAUCAUUAAGAAGGCCGUAUGCUCCCUAUUCUCAACAGACCCGGUUCUUUUAUUACUUCUGAUGAAACCCUUCCACCCGCCGAUUCCCCUUGUGUCCAGCCGAUGUGACGUUGUGGCUAAAAGGUGGAAAGGUGUGUCCGGGGAAGAAAUGUCAAGGCCGGUCAACAGAACCACAUCGGCUAGUGUUGGGGUCAUAGGUCCGUGCCCAAAUAAGAAAGCAUUGAGUGCAUCAGACCAAAAAUAAGAAGCCUCUAUUACCAACGGCUCAUUUUCUCCAUGUGGGACAAGGAUAGGUUGAUGCACUGGCCGAUUUUGAGCUCCUCCCACGAGACGCUCUUCGACGCGGCUACCCGUUGGUACCACUCCCUCCAACCUGGGGUUUCAUUCGGCCAGGACCUAAAAGUGCCCAACCAUUGAUCUAAGUCCAUGUCGGACAGUUUGAAGGGUAUCCUGUGGGUUUCUAAAUUGAUGAACUCUAUCGGAUCUGGGUUCCCCAUGGGUCCGAGGCAAAUAAGACCGGGAUUUCCCGUAAUAUGAAUGGUAAUGCGAUGCCUGACCGCCUAAAAAAGGAAAGGGGGGUGUAAAAAGGUAAGAAACAGAUCUAGAGUAAAUGCAUUGCCAAUGGGGGAAGGAUUCGGUAAAAACCUCUGGGAUGAAGUUCCGUGUGGUCGGCGUGGUCGCCGGUGCAGAUGCGGACGAUGAGGCCGUGAUGGGGAUCGCCAUUGGGAUCUCCGAUGAAGCUCCUUCUUCUGUUGAUGGAGCAACUGCCGUUGCCACUACCGCCGGAGGUGCCACUUCCGGAACAUCGUGUGCUGGAGAGCUGCUGGAAGGAGCCGCCAUUGGAGAGGAAGAGAAGAAGCAACGGGCGGUUGGCGCUAGGAAGCUCUGACGGCAAGAGAAAAGGUGCUAAAGGAAGAAGAAGGCGCGCGCUGAGAAAGGAAGACGUGAACUUGAAGAUGAAGUGCGGGGGUGAACCGCUAUUUAAAGGGCGCCUGAAGAAGGGUAAAAAUGGGAUUUUCACCGCGCCGGCGUUUCGAGUUUUUCGGGAGUAGUGGUUGUCGUGGGCGCCCGUUUCGAAAAGAUUGCAAUCAUCAGCUGGAAGACCGCGAAACAGAAGGAUAUUUUCAUUGCGGCUGUUUCGGAGGGGAGGUUAUAAAGAAUUUUGAAGUAAAAGAUUAUGUUUUACUCCGAAACUGGGGGGCAUGUGUUGACGCCAGAUUUCGUCACUAGUAAAAUCGGCGCCAAGAAAAGAAGGAAACGGAGAAGCACAGUUGGGAAUCGGCCGAAUGGUGCUACAGUACGAGAUCGGCCGAUGACUUCCGUCUCGCCUCGGGUCGAGCGUGCCGGGUUCCCAAUCGGUUGCCUCUUGCCGAUAAGGAAUCGGCCGAUUAGGAGGUUGGGUUAAUUGGGCCUGUAUGGGCUUGGAAAGGAAUAAAAGGAUGAGGGGGAGAUCAGCCCAUGAAGCGUAGAGUAACCAACCUAGCACGAAUCGUGCUUGUAAAUAUUCAUUUUCUGUUUGAAUUAGGGAUAGAAUUCUAGUCGGAUAAGAAGUCAUCUAUAAGGGGCUAUAAAUAGCUACCUUUGUAAAUCUGUGAUCAUCAACAAAUCAAUACAACAUACUACUUUUUCCUCGUACUUACUUUCAAGCAGACGACUUCGUCAUUACUUUUCUCUUUUUCACGAGUUCGUGCGGGUUGGCAGGGCUGCAUCAGUUUGAUCUCCGGCCGAUUCUGUAAGUUCCGCUUAUCGAGUAAUAUCUAAACUUUAACUUCGGGCGUAUCGCUGUUGUUUCAUUUAGAUUUAUUCACUAGUUAUCGAUAUUUGCUAGAUUCAUAGGUUUUACCUGUCUUUCUAGUUUUAUCACCAGUUAUCCAGCUAGGAAUCGGUAGUUUCGGCUUUCUUCACGUUCUGCUUUUGAAUUCAUCUAUUGCCGAUUAGAUCUGUUCCUAGUGUUGUUAUCUUAGCUCUGUGUCGAUUACUCUAGUAGUUUUCUGUCUACAAGGCUACAGUCAUCGGCUGCCUUAUAGCCGAUUUCUUUAUUACGGCAAAUCGGCCGAUUCGCUGAUAAGCUCUCUCGAGAUCGGAAACCUAGCCGAUCGCGAUUUCUGGACCUGACACGUAUUCUUCCUUGCCAAUCAACAGGUCAGAUUGGCUGGCACGCCGCGCGAACCGCACCAGGGCAAUCACCCGAACAGGAGUUAAGCAGAUUCUCCCGGGUCGUGUGUCAGACGCUGGGAUUCGGUUAACCGAUUUCUAGCGCUAACAGAGGUUUUCUGCAGAUUAUGGCACUGGUGAUUUUGAUGUGGACAAGUCGGAAAAUCGUUGCUCGAAGUGCCCCAAGAUCAUUAGGAAUUACACGUGCCGCAAUAGAAAAUCUAAAGGCACGAAAUCUAGGGGGAACAGUAAUAGGCUGCGUUCUUUGAACAAUAGGGUAUGCGCGUUGCUCGUAUUUUGCAUGGUUAUCAUUUUAUCUUUUUUUUUAUAGUAGUAAAUUAUCAUAGUUACCGUACUUAUCAUAUAAUGAAGCAUUUUACUAAUGAUCUUGUUUGUUGUUUCUUUAGGAUGGCAGCCCCGGCGUACCCUCUUCUUGAGUCGGCUUACGACUUGCAGCACCGUGCCCACCACCUCGCGGAUCUAAAUGAGGUACUACAUCAGUUAUUAACAAUGGUUGCUAAUUUAUGCUGAUGAAUGCAUACCUUAGGAUGAUAACUGCAAGAUUUUCGUAUGAAAUGUUCUUACAAAUUGAGGAUGUGCCUGUCGUUACUAUUUGCUUGUGUACAAUGUAAACAAUUUCAUACUGAAAUGUCAUUUAUAUCAUAUUUGUGUUACUUACCACUUUAGUAGCCCUUGAUUCUCAAAUGCAUUGACUUCUCAUUUUUGUAAUAAUCUUAUAAUGUUUUGCAGGAUUUGAAACCACUCAGGGCUAAAGUGCACUCACCACUUAGGUAGGAUGAGCGGUACGUGGAGUACUUGCAGAGAGCUGGUUUUUGGGAUCUUGCUGUUCAGGUUGCAACACCGUCCACUGCUGCAGGUCCUAGCAGGAGAUCACGAGGCAAGGAACCCCCAUCCCCUCAGGCAAGCGAGGACUCUAAAGGUGAGCAGUCUGAGGAUGACGACCCUACAUAUGGUGAGGAACUGGAGAUUUCCGGCAUGAUCGAUGCUCCACCUAUGACUCAGACACAUCGUGAGUCCAGCUAGGUACAUUCACAAGUUUCCCCAAAUUCAAUUCUAGAUUGUUAAUGUUCACUCCCGAAGUGUCAUACAAAUAUCCAGAUCUAUAUAAAAUGGUCAUCAAACAUAUGAUGUAUGGUCCUUGCGGCAUAUUAAACAUAAAUUGCCCUGCACAAAGAAUCGAGCAUCUUGCAAAAACAAUUAUCCAAGACCAUUUAAUGAAACUACAAUUCAAGGCAAGGACUCCUACCCAUUGUAUAGAAGACGAAAUGACGGUCACACUGAAACAGUCCGGAACUGUAAACUAGAUAACAGAUGGGUUGUUCCUUGCAACCUGUUGACACCGGAUUUUGACCAAUCCUAUAAAUUCGGAGUACAAGAUAAUUGGAGUCACGUACAACAAUAAGAAGCUAGCAUGCGUGUAUAUGGGCACGGAGUCCAAAUCGGCUUGAUUGGAUUGAUCGGCAAGGAGAGGCAAGGAUGAUAUAAAGGAAUGGCCAGCACGUAUGGAUAAAAAUGAUUAGAAUAUACAACAUGGAUUCUGGUGCACUUUGCAUGCCAUGCGUGGGAGGCUUCCAGAAUAAUUAUUCAUACCGAUCUGUGCAUGUACGGGAGGUUGUUUCAUAGAAUAAAAUAUUUUAGAGAUAGAGUUGGGUUAGUUAGAGAUAGAGUUUUUUAUUAGAAAAGAUUGUGUACGUGACUUGCCUUGUGCGUGGUUAGAUGCCAAUUAUGUAACGUCCGCCCUAUAAAUAUAAAGGGACGUGGCCAUUGUAAAGAAUCAUCACACGAUCAAUAAACAAACAUAUUUACCUUUACCUUUCGGCUCCACGCCAUUUCCCUAGGAGUAGGAGUAAUGUAGUUUCUCGACGAGUUCCUUCUAGCAAGCUGGGCUGCAUCGACCUCGAUCUCCGGUGAGCUGCAAGUUCCGUCACCAGGUGUUCUAGGCUUUAACCACCGGGCGCAUCGCUGUGGUUUCUUCUAGUUUCAUCUACUAGUUAUCGAGUAUCUUGGAUCUUUGACUUACGGCGCAUCGCUUCUAUCUCGAUCUACGGUAUUUACCAGUUAUCCCACCUUGAUUAAGCUUGCAUCGGCUGAUAUUUGUCUGUUCUAUCGUCUUGCCGUUUACGACAUAUUAAUUGUUAUUAAUUCUGUCGGAAUAGACGAUAGAUCUAUUCUUAAUAGCCUGUUGCAUCUUAAUCUUGGUUACCCUUUCGAGUGCUGUUGGGAUUAAGUUUCGUUAUGAUUGGAUUCAUCGGCUGGCGAGGUUCAGAUUAACAUCCUGCUAAAUAUUUCUAGACUGCAACUACCGGGCGCAUCGCUGUGGUUUCACCUAGAGAUAUUGGUGGAGAGUUUAGUUUAGAUCUUAUCGGCUUGUAACUCUAGCUAUGGUGGAGCAGUAGCUCAACAGCAUCCUGUUUUCUAUCAGCCGUCUGGCUGAUGGUUAUUGUAAAUUAUAUUAAAUCGGCCCGAUCGGCCGACUCCAUCGAACUUCGAGAGAAUUAUCUCCACCUUGUCAGUUGAAUGGUCAAACUGACUGGCACGUCCGCGCACACUAUGCGCGCCGAUUUGGAUUCUGCACUGGAGUUAAGCAGAUCUCCCAGGUCCUCAUGUGGUGAUGCAGGGUCCACCACCUUCAGGAUUUUGCGUCAACACAUUUUGGCACGCCUGGUGGGACACGGUUAUAAGGCUCACAUUUUUAUUCAAUAAAAAAGCAUCUUCAGCAGCUGUAUCAUGUUCAUCGGCAUCGGCGUGUUGGAGUUAAUUCAAAUCAAUAUAAUAUUCCAACCAGAAGAGCCGAUGGUACAGAAAGAUGAUCUUAAUUUCAAUCGGCUGCACAUUGUAUAGAUAAAUUUGAUGCUAGAUCAAUUACGGAGGAAACCGAUACAACAUCGACAUCAUCAUUCCUUACUGAUGUUAUAUAUCGGCUAGUUCAGAGGAAACAAGUAUCGGCUGGGCACAUAGUAGCUGUUUUUUAUCAGCCAAAGAAAACAAAGCAUCGGCCGAUGGAAUAUAAUCGGCAAGCAUAGUGGCCGAUGGAAUUAUUUUUUAGCCAAUGGAACUGUUUUUUCAGCCGAUAGAAGUAUUUUUCAGCUGAUGCAACAUUUUUUUAGCCGAUUGGAAAAGCUCCAGCGGGUGGGCAAAAGAGAAAUAAAAAAAAUGCAUCGGCAGUUGUAUCGGCUGAUUGGAAGAAUUAAAAGGGAUCGGCCGAUUGGAAAUUGCAUCGGCUGAUGGAAAAUGGGAUCGGCCGAUUGGAGUUGUAUCAGCUGAUUAAGAAAAAAAAUAACGGCCGAUCAUAGAGAAAGAUAUCAGCCGAUUAGCAUCAGUCAGUUGGAAUUAGAAAAAAAAACAAAGAGAGGCAUCGGCCGAUUAGCGUCAGCCUGUUGGAAUUAAAAAAAAACAGAGAGAGGCAUCGGCCGAUUAGCGUCAGCCAGUUGGAAUUGAAAGAAAAAAAAAACGUGGCAUCGGCCGAUGGAAAAUUAGUUCAGCCGAUUGGGAAAAAAAGAAAAAAAAAAGUGGCAUCGGCCGAUGGAAAAUUGGUAUUGCCGAUUGAAAAAAAUAGAAGAAGGAAAAAGUUGGCAUCGGCCGAUAAAAAAUUGGUUUAGCGGAUUGAAAAUUGCUAAUCGGCUGAUUGAAGAGAAGCAUCGGUGUAUUGGUUAAAAAAAAGUGUAGGGAAGCAUCGGCGGGUUAGUUAAAAAAAAAGCAUCGCCCAGUUGGAAUUAAAAAAAAAGGAAAGGCCAAUUACUACUUUUGUUGGUAAUCGGUCUAGCAAAUUGCAGCCUAGAAUAUAAAUGGUUCGGCCAGGAUGAAUAGUGGCAAGCAUUAAACCGAAGAGCCAGCCGGGGCUAGUUGUGUACACACUGACGAUAGAAAAAUAUAUGAGAUCUAUUGAGUCAUCAGGGACAGCCAAUGACUAAAUUUGCAAGAAUCUCAGCCGAUUGUGUAGUACAAUCAGUCAUCGGCUAUGCCUCAACUCAUGGGAAACUUCUAGCACCCUCAGAUUGGAAUGUACUGGCAGCAGAACGCUGGAGUUCAACUCCAGCCGAUAGGAGGCCACGCACCCCCAGCUUUUGGAGUUCAGCCGAUUGCCCAGUUGCCAAAUCGGCAGGCAGGGGUUUAGCAUCAUGACGGACAUCAGCAGGUUGAUUGGGUGCAUUAGAUAGCCGAUGUGAUUCAGAAUCAUUUCGAUUUGAAACCCAGGGAGCAGGGAGCAGGAGUACAUGCAUCGGCAGCCAUGAAGGAUAUAUAUAUAUAUAUAUAUAUAUAUAUAUAUAUAUAUAUAUAUAUAUAUAUAUAAAGGGGAUAGCCAAUGGAGGAGUCUGACCUGAAAUCAGAUCGGCCACGGAAGGGGUAUGAAGUUCUCCAUUCGUUGUACACUAGGCGACCAUGACGAAAGAAAGAGAAAAAGAAAGGAGCAGUCGGCCGAUUGGGAAAAGAAUUGAUAAAAAAGGAGGAGGCGGUCGGCCGAUGGGCAAAGGAACGAGUGAAAGCAGGGCAAAAGAAAAAAAAAAAGAAAGAAAGAAAUAAGAGAAGCAUCGGCCGAUUGAUUAGAAAAAAAAAAAGAAAGCAUCGGCCACAUUGGUGCGUUGACAAAAGAGAGGGGCAUCGGCCAUUCGUGCGUCUCCUUAUUGAUAAGAAAAAUCGGCCGAUUGAAAAUUGGAUCGGCUGAUCAAAAGUUGUAUCGGCCGAUUAAAAAAAAUUAUAUAUAUAUAUAUAUACAUCGACCGAUUGAAAUAAAGAAAGCAUCGGCUGGCUGGUUCAAAAGAUGCAUCGGCUGACUGGUUCAAAAGAUGCAUCGGCCGAUUGAGAUAAGGGAAGCAUCAGCUAAUUAAAUACAUCGGCCGAUUGGGAUAUAUAUAUAUAUAUAUAUAUAAGGGUAUCGGCUAAUUGAAAAAAUUGCAUCAGCCGAUUGAAAAUUGGAUAGGCCGAUUGAAAGUUGUAUCGGCUAAUUAAAAAAAUGCAUCGGCCGAUUAACUGCUUGGCAAAAGGCAUCGGCCGAUUGCUUCGGCCGAUUGAUUGCUUGGCGAUAAGCAUUGGCUGAUUGCUUGGCCAAUAAAAAAAUUCAGCUGAUUGGAUCAAGGAAAAUAGUAUCGGCUGCUUAUAAAAUAUAUUGGAUAUUAAUUUCGAAGCAUGAAAUAUUCAUACUUCGAAACUGGGGGGCCUGUGUUGACAACAAAAGCUUGCUAGUUACUGCACCAAGUUUUGGUGUCAAUAGACUGAUCUGUUGUUUCUACUGCCGGCAAUGCCGAUGGUGUUCUUUAUAUUUGAAGAGGAGUCGACGUGGCUUUGGAUAUUGCAAUCAGACGUCAUUAGCUCUAAAGACAAGUAUCAGACUUCUAUAAUUAGUUUCGGAACAUGAAGCAUUCAUACUCCGAAACUGGGGGGCCUGUGUUGACACCGGAUUUUGACCAAUCCUAUAAAUUCGGAGUACAAGAUAAUUGGAGUCACGUACAACAAUAAGAAGCUAGCAUGCGUGUAUAUGGGCACGGAGUCCAAAUCGGCUUCAUUGGAUUGAUCGGCAAGGAGAGGCAAGGAUGAUAUAAAGGAAUGGCCAGCACGUAUGGAUAAAAAUGAUUAGAAUAUACAAUAUGGAUUCUGGUGCACUUUGCAUGCCAUGCGUGGGAGGCUUCCAGAAUAAUUAUUCAUGCCGAUCUGUGCAUGUACGGGAGGUUGUUUCAUAGAAUAAAAUAUUUUAGAGAUAGAGUUGGGUUAGUUAGAGAUAGAGUUUUUUAUUAGAAAAGAUUGUGUACGUGACUUGCCUUGUGCGUGGUUAGAUGCCAAUUAUGUAACGUCCGCCCUAUAAAUAUAAAGGGACGUGGCCAUUGUAAAGAAUCAUCACACGAUCAAUAAACAAACAUAUUUACCUUUACCUUUCGGCUCCACGCCAUUUCCCUAGGAGUAGGAGUAAUGUAGUUUCUCGACGAGUUCCUUCUAGCAAGCUGGGCUGCAUCGACCUCGAUCUCCGGCGAGCUGCAAGUUCCGUCACCAGGUGUUCUAGGCUUUAACCACCGGGCGCAUUGCUGUGGUUUCUUCUAGUUUCAUCUACUAGUUAUCGAGUAUCUUGGAUCUUUGACUUACGGCGCAUCGCUUCUAUCUCGAUCUACGGUAUUUACCAGUUAUCCCGCCUUGAUUAAGCUUGCAUCGGCUGAUAUUUGUCUGUUCUAUCAUCUUGCCGUUUACGACAUAUUAAUUGUUAUUAAUUCUGUCGGAAUAGACGAUAGAUCUAUUCUUAAUAGCCUGUUGCAUCUUAAUCUUGGUUACCCUUUCGAGUGCUGUUGGGAUUAAGUUUCGUUAUGAUUGGAUUCAUCGGCUGGCGAGGUUCAGAUUAACAUCCUACUAAAUAUUUCUAGACUGCAACUACCGGGCGCAUCGCUGUGGUUUCACCUAGAGAUAUUGGUGGAGAGUUUAAUUUAGAUCUUAUCGGCUUGUAACUCUAGCUAUGGUGGAGCAGCAGCUCAACAGCAUCCUGUUUUCUAUCAGCCGUCUGGCUGAUGGUUAUUGUAAAUUAUAUUAAAUCGGCCCGAUCGGCCGACUCCAUCGAACUUCGAGAGAAUUAUCUCCACCUUGUCAGUUGAAUGGUCAAACUGACUGGCACGCCCGCGCACACCAUGCGCGCCGAUUUGGAUUCUGCACUGGAGUUAAGCAGAUCUCCCAGGUCCUCAUGUGGUGAUGCAGGAUCCACCACCUUCAGGAUUUUGCGUCAACACAACCCAUACCUAUUGCACUUUUUCAACUGCCACAUAAAUGUUGAGGUAUGCUCAAGCAUUAAAGCCGUUAAGUAUCUGUUCAAAUACAUCUACAAGGGACAUGACCGGGUCUCUGUAUCUGUAACUGGAGCAGAUGCUGAAGGAGAAAUUGAUGAAAUUAGACAGUACAGAAACGCACGGUGGGUUACACCUCCAGAAUUAAGCAUGCAAGUGCUAAGAGCCGAUAUAUAUCUUUGACUCUAUUGGAAGUGUUUGAAGUGAGCAAUACAUCAUUUUAUAUAAAUCCAAUCCAUUUGAUCACAUUAAAAUUCAUGAGACAAGUCUCUCUGUCCCCGUUAAGUCAUAUAUGAAGGGUCAAAACAAACAGGUAUAAAAACAUUGACUAGUACAUAAACCGUAUGUAUAAUUGGUGGUAUGUUUGCCGGUAUGUAAAAGUUAUAUUGUUUAUGCGGAUCUAUCUACUUAUACCUAUAGUAAUCACAGAUGCUCUAGAAAAUCCCACGUCAACGAGAAAGAGAAAAUAUCUAGCCAUUGAUCCAUCGUGGCCCCCUUUUUUUAGCCGUUCAGAUUUAAAACAGUACAAUUAGUUAUUAGUUACUUGCAUUUGGUUAACUUUGCUAGGUUGUUCUAAGGAUAAUAGGUGCAAAUGGACAGUGGGGCCACUGGUGGACGUGCGUUCCUUGACAGAGCAUGCCUACACGAGAACUAAGGAAGACCGGCUGUGUGGACGUGGAGGAUGUGAUAUUACACGAUGCUGGAACAUGGACGGUUGCCACGUUAAUCCUCGGGUACAAAUUAGAAUUCAUUACAAUUUUUAGGAAAAAUAUGUACGGAUGUAUGAUCCGUUAGAGGAAAAGUGAAUAGGACGGACCAAAAUGUUGGAUCCUUUGUUGGAAAAAUGGUUUGAAUUUUGGCAAUGUGAGUAAGGAUUUCCUUUGUUUUGAGAGAGAGCCAAAUAGAAUUACAUUAUUUGUUAAUGUUCGUCUCAUAUUGAUUUUCAAUCUUAAAAAAAUGAUGCACUAUUUCAACUACAAUCACAUUAAGCGAAACAUAAAAUUCGAUCCAUCUUGGCCUCUCGAGCUAUGUGAGUAGGAGAACAGCAUAGCAAAGAUAAACGAUCUAAUUAAUCUUCCUAGGAAGAGCUUUGAACUCUUGGAAACAACAAAAUGAAAUCAUGCAAUUCGAUUGGCAAAGUGACAAUACAUCAUCGGUACAAUGAUCAAAAAUAGCGAUUCUUGGCGAGGUACAAAUGUAUGAUCCAUUGUUGGGAAAGCAAAUAAGACGGACUAAACUUUUUGUCACAUUGAUUUUCAGCCACUAAAAAAAGCGAUGAGGUAAGAUAGUCAUUUGUUUCUAAAUACACAGUACAACAUAGUCAUUGUUUCUAGUCCGUUGCGGUGCGGUGAGAUAAGAAUAAAUAAUCACAUGACAAGACAUGGCAUGGCAGGCUAUGACGCAACAUCAUGACUAGGGAACACCAAAAGCACCAAGGAAGAUGAACAGAUUCUUGCCGAUGUCCCAUCAUAGAGCAAAUAAAGCAGGAUAAAAGGGGAUUGAUCUUCGAACUAGAAAAUAGGGGAUCGAUCUUUCCAUUGAUCUUACAAAUAAAAGAUAACAGCAUAGCAAAGAUGGCCAGGGUUCCAACAAAAUCUAAAUCUAAAAUUACUAAUUAACAGCAUAGCAAAGAUAACAGCUGGCCAGGGUUCCAACAAAAUCUAAAUCUAAAGUUAUUAAUUAACAGCAUAGCAAAGAUAACAGCAUUGAUCUUCCACUAGCGCGGCUUGCUCACUCCAUUCACCCCUCAUUCCCGGCCAUGACGUGGUGGCGGCUCCACUUCUUAUGGUUCUCGCCCCUCAGGGGGUGGACCCAGAAUGUGGUCCUUGACCUCAUUCAGGAUCCCCCACCGAUGCCUCGUUCCAGGGUAGACAGGGCACGCGAAGGUGUUGUCAGCGCGGUGAAAGACGCGUAGAGCAUCACCCCGGGGGAAGGGCGUGUGGUAGUCGCGGCGCCAGUCGUCAGAUGAGUCCGUCAGUUUGGGAGUCGGAGUCGAACCCAUCAGCUGGAAGGGUCACAAUCAAGGUCAACUCUUGAUGCGGUGAUGAGGGCGUGAGGGUGGAGGAAGCCGCCCCCACUGUCGGAGGAGCCCGGGAACGCACCGGGGAGCCCACAAUAGCUCCGCAGCGACCAUCCACGAGCGAUAGCAGGUUGAGGUCGGCGGCGUUGGAGCGCGAUCCCGACGACGAGUGCAAUGGCCACCCAAGGUCACUGGCGUCAGAGUGGGAUACCGACGAGGAAGCACCGCCGUAACGGGACGACCCCACUGCGUGGACGUAGCGCCAUAGCGCUGCCGUGAAGUUGCGGGCAGUGGCGCGGCAGUAGCACGGCGACAACCCGCCACAGGAGCACGACGACGAUGAGGGGGACCUUUAGUCCUGAAUGAUUAGUUUCGGUUGAUUUUUCGAGAGAUACGAGGCUUACCAAGCAGAACUAAUGCUCAUAUUUUCCAGAACCAAUGCUCAUAUUUCCACUAGUGAGUGCAAGGUUCCCUCGACGCAUAAGACGAUUUAUCCACCGUGGUUCCUAACCACAAGUAGAAAUGCACACAUUUACUAGGGGCGGUUCCUUAAGAGAAGUGUAUUUUCCAGGGGCAGUUCCUUAAGAUAAGUACCGAUAGAAAUCUGGCAGUGUUCAGGUACAGUGCGCGAAAGCAACUGCUAGUGACUGUAGAUAACGAUAUCCAUCGAUAGAAAUAAAGGCUAGUAUCACAUCUAAAAACUAGCUUUGAUAUUCAGCUCAGAUCCGUGCCUCUAACUUUUCGUGCUCAUUAUAUAAAUCAUAAAUUUCCUAAAAAAUUAACAAAAUCGUGCAUAAAAAUCCAGAAUGUUUAUCAAAAGGUAAGAUUCAAAUCAGUGGUAGAUGUUCAGGAUUAAAUACUUUCUUACUCCACAUAUUUUUGUUAGGUGAGGAGGCAUUGCAAGUUUGCAACUGUUGAAUGAAAUACUUCUCGUUGUAUCAUUGUGCAUGUACAUUAAGUUCUGGAGGCUGAGAAAUUACCCGUUGUACCCCAUGGACUGGCCGGUUGUGGGCAUGCUCCCUUCCCUCGUUGCCAAUCUCCACAACUUCCACGACGAACUCACUGUCGUCCUUGCCACCAACGGGUGUAACUUCAAGGCGCGAGGGCCGGUAGCAAGUGGCAUGCGGUUCUUCGUCACCGCUGAACCGGCAAACGUCCGGCACAUCUUCACCUCCAACCAUGCAAACUACCCCAAGGGCGAGGAUUUUGCUGAAAUCUUCGACAUCUUUAGCGGCACCAUCUUCACCAUUGAUGGUGAGGCCGGCCGCCAGCAUAGAGCCAUGUUCCAGAACAUCUUGAGCAAUCCACGGUUACUUGCCUUGAUGGCAAGUUGCUGCCGUGACAAGGUGGUGAACGGACUCCUCCCGUUCUUGACCCGCAUGGGCAGCACCAGGACAACGUUCGACAUGCAGGAUUUGAUCACAAGGUUGGUGUUCGACCUUACUGCCACGCCGAUCUUCGGUGUCGACCCGGGUUGCCUGUCCAUCAGCAUGCCGUCUAUCCAUGUUGCAACCGCCAUGGACACGUUCAUGGAGGUCGGCUUAUUCCGGCACACCAUGCCGGCUUGUUUCUGGAAGGUGAUGAGACGGCUAAACAUCGGUCCAGAGAGGAAGCUGGCCAUGGCGGAAACAGUGAUGCAUGCUUUCAUCAGGGAGAUGACUGAGAAGUCGAAAGCCAGGUGCGCCGAUCUCCUUGAUGAUGUGUUGGCCAUGGACAUUAUUUCUGCUAACCCAUCAGUGGGCAGAGACGAUGUCCUACUACGUAAUGUACUCAUCGUUCACAUGAUCGCCGGGCGGGACACGGUUGGUACCACGCUACCGUGGGUAUUCUACAACCUCGCCAGGAACCCCCGUGUGGUCUCUUGCAUCCGCAAGGAACUGGCACCCAUCGCAUCGCUCAAGGCCACUGCUCUCGCCUCCAAUAGCAUCAGCAGUGUGGUCGUCUUUGAUCCAAAGGAGACUGAACACCUAGUCUACCUUCAGGCAGCCUUAUUGGAGUCGCUCAGGUUGUACCCACCAGGCCCGAUCGAGCGCAAGGUGGUGCUAGCCGACGAUGUGCUCCCAAGUGGUCACCAGUUGUGCUCCGGUGAAACCAUCCUGAUCUCCAUCUAUGCCAUGGGUAGAAUGGAAUCCCUGUGGGGCAAGGAUUGCCAUGUGUACCGUCCGGAGAGGUGGCUGUCCGAGGACGGUGCUAAACUGCGUUACGUGCCGUCCAAUAAAUUCAUGGCGUUUAACACAGGGCCGAGGAUGUGCCUUGGCAAGGACAUAGCAAUUGCGCAGAUGAAGACCAUCGUUGCCGCGGUGGUGUGGAACUUUGAUAUGGAGGUGUUGGAAGGGCAGAGCAUCGAGCCAAAGCUGUCGUGCAUUCUUCAAUUGAAGAACGGGCUCAUGAUGAUGGUUAAGCAGAGAGAGUAAUCAAUGUGACAUGGAAUAAGCUAGGUGCAAUGCAACUACAGAUCGACUCAGUCCUGGCAUAUAUGGUUUGAACAAAAUAGUUAAAUCCAAACUUAUAAUGAAGUAAAUGGAGGCGUAACAUGUAUUUUCGUCAUUAAAUAAAGUCUACGGACGCCGUCGUUUGGCCAUCUGAAAGCUGGGACCAUACCCAACUACAGACUCUUUGAUUUCAGUACCGAUAGUUUGUACUACUCCCUCUUUCUAAAUAAGUGAUGUUUUCAGAUUAUCUUAAGCUUAUUUGAAACUUUGAUGGCAUAUUAAUUGUUUUUCUAUGUGUAAAAGGUUUGGAUAAAUUUAUACGAGUAUAUUUAUGUUUAAUAGUAACUUCAUCAAAAGCAUCCGUUCACUUUAUGAAUAUUUUGUAACAAAAACUAGCCAUCACAGUUAUGUUUUUGAGGUAAUUUCAAUAUCAAAAACUUCAUUUAUGAGACCGGAGGAACUACAUACAAAUACAAUGAAUGUAAAUAUAAUAUGUCCUCCGAUGUCCUGGACUUCAUAAGUUGUAUCUGCAAUACUUAAGAGUGAAACCAAAGAGGGCGAUGUCAAUUUGAGUGUAUCUAAAGAGACUUAAAACAUUCAAACGAUGAAUAUAAAUUGUAUCAAAUUAUAGUCCCUAUUAUACUUAUGUAAUUAGUACAAUUUAUUUAAGUUGGAACAUACUUGUUUUUACCGUGUCUUGAUCCAAGUGCGCAUGUGGGUUUUGCAUGUUUUUCCUGGCAGGAGGCACCCUUGGUUACUAAUGCGGUGUCUGGAACCUUGGUUACUCCUUUUUAUUGAUUUCCUUCCUUAAGCUACCUGAGCACCCUAGAAUAGUGAUGGGCUGCCAAGGUAUUGGAUCAAAUGAAUUCAGACACCUCUAUGUAUUUAAGGUAUUGGUGUGAGUAGCGUGUAACGACUGAUUCUGUGCUGAGUCGUACCAACCAUAUCGAGGCUUUGUGCACGCUAGCUCAUUCAGGGUGAAAGUCUGCCCCGUCCGUACAUGAUAAGCUCGAGAGUCGAGACAUUGAUUCGGCAGCUGCCGUACGUGUAUGUUUUUGUCCUUCCAUUUGCUGUACGUGUACGUGCUCGUUCCGUUGGUGCUGUGGACGGAGAGCGGCUACUUAGACAUGGACUUCUGCCGAAUCCGCAUGAUGGACAACGACAACCAGGCCCUCGACGCCGUCUUGCCCCGCGAUGAGAACGGCUGCGGCGUGCGAGACGGCACGGCCAUGACGAUCACAGAGGAGAUCUACUGGAGCGACGAGGCCAACAAGACCUGCGACGGGCUUUACGCCGAGCUCACCUGCCGCGUCUACUUCAAGGCCCACGAAGGCUUCAACCUUACCUUGCGCGACGGUGCCAUCUGCCUCUUGCCCACCGACGCCGAUGUCAAGUACCAGCACCAGCACUGGAUCUAGACCCACCUUACGCCGGCUCCCUUCCUCCUCCCUCCCUCCUUUCUUCUUCCUCCAGACCCACCCGAGCCCGGGGUUUUUGGGCCCCCCCCCCCCCCCCCCGCCCCCAAAUCCACCCAAAAUCCGGCGAUUUCGGUGGGGGAAAGUAGUGGAAAUCGAUCCCUGCUUCGUGUGGAAGGUAUUCCCCUACUUUUUCUCGUGUUUUACCGUUGCAUUUGGUAGAUCGCAGGAUGUUUAGGUGAUUUAGGGUUAGGUAGAUGAUUUCAAUUUUGAAUGAAAUGCAAUGGUGUUUUGUGUUAGAUGAUACGUAGUUCAGACGCAAUUGAGUCUCUGCCCGCGAUAUUGACGUGUAGAACUUGUCGAUUUAGGUAUAUAUUCAUUGAAUUGUGUAGUUGAUAUGACAUGUAUAUUUUUUGUUUGCAAUUUGUCCAAUAUGUGUAAUGUGUCUAGUUGAUAUGUUGAAUAUGUGCAAUGUGUAGUGUAUAUGACAUGGUGAAAUGUUUGUAUUUUGUAGAUGGAUCGUUUAGUUCGUUUUUUUCAUGGUGGUGUUGUGAAACAAAAUGGGGAGUUAGAGAAUAUGAAUGAGUCAAUUGCAUUCUUCGAGGGUCCUCCAAGUUUUAGUGAUUUAGUUGACCGUGUAAUGAGGAAGUAUGGAUGUAGAGUGGAUGAGAUCAGUUUGAGAGGUCGUUUUGAUUGUGGGAAAGCUAGAGCUCAUUAUGUUCUCAUGAAGUUAGCAUCCGAUGCGAAUUGGAAGCACUAUAAGGAUGUAGUUCACGAAGCUAAUGUUGCAUGUUUGGAGGUGUUGACGCCAGAUUUUGACACGUAUGAAAUCGGCGUCAGGAAAGGAAGAAAUCAAGAGAUGCGGCAAGACACGGAGGUCACGAUUGUAUUACUCUAGGGAGCACACCGUCAAAAUAUGGGAAUCAAGCUUUCAACCUUACCUUGAUCCGUCACAAUGGCCGGCAUAUGAAGGGGUAGGGUACGUGCCUAACCCCAAUUUGAUGAGAAAUAAAGUAGGAAGGAGGCAGAAGAAGCGUUUCACAGGUGACAUGGACGUGUCGGAAGAGAGGUUUUCUGCAGAUUAUGGCACUGGUGAUUUUGAUGUGGACAAGUCGGAAAAUCGUUGCUCGAAGUGCCCCAAGAUCAUUAGGAAUUACACGUGCCGCAAUAGAAAAAUCUAAAGGCACGAAAUCUAGGGGGAAUAGUAAUAGUCCGCGUUCUUCGAACAAUAGGGUAUGCGCGUUGCUUGUAUUUUGCAUGGUUAUCAUUUUAUCUUUUUUUUAUAGUAGUAAAUUAUCAUAGUUACCGUACUUAUCAUAUAAUGAAGCUUUUUACUAACGAUCUUGUUUGUUGUUUCUUUAGGAUGGCGGCCCUGGCGUACCCUCUUCUUGAGUCGGCUUACGGCUUGCAGCACCGUGCCCACCACCUCGCGGACCUAAAUGAGGUACUACAUCAGUUAUUAACAAUGGUUGGUAAUUUAUGCUAAUGAAUGCAUACCUUAGGAUGAUAAUUGCAAGAUUUUUGUAUGAAAUGUUCUUACAAAUUGAGGAUGUGCCUGUCGUUACUAUUUGCUUGUGUACAAUGUAAACAAUUUCAUACUGGAAAUGUCAUUUAUAUCAUAUUUGUGUUACUUACCACUUUAGUAGCCCUUUAUUCUCAAAUGCAUUGACUUCUCAUUUUUGUAAUAAUCUUAUAAUGUUUUGCAGGAUUUGAAACCACUCGGGGCUAAAGUGCACUCACCACUUAGGUGGGAUGAGCGGUACGCGGAGUACUUGCAGAGAGCUGGUUUUUUGGAUCUCGCUGUUCAGGUUGUCGCGGGUCUCCCUCCAAUGGACGGACCGCUGUUGACCUCUAUGGUUGACAGGUGGCGUCCGGAGACUCACACGUUCCACCUCCCGUUCGGAGAGAUGACCAUCAUAAUGCAGGAUGUCACUAUGAUACUCGGUCUUCCACUGGAUGGGCAGCCAGUGACGGGAAUUAUACAGAAUGAGAAUUGGCAUGAUAUGGUUGAAAUGCAUAUUGGGAUUAGGCCGCCAGAGCCAGAGGACGGAGACAACUCCAAGAAGACCUCCGGUGUCAGCUCGGCAUGGUUGAGGGAGCACUUCAACGUUUGUCCUCCGGGAGCAAAUGACGAGGUUGUGCAGCGAUAUGCUUGAGUUUGGCUAUGGCACUUUGUUAGCACAUUCCUCCUCCCAGAUGCAGCUGGGAAUACAGUGUCUUGGAUGGUUCUCCCCAUUUUGGGUCAGCAUUAGGACAACAUAGCCCUUUACAGUUAGGGCUCAGUGGUUCUUGUCUGGCUGUACAGGCAGCUAUGUGAGGCUUGCAGGCGCACCAUGAGGGAUUCCAAUGUUGGAGGGUGCACCUAUAUGCUGCCGAUUUGGAUUUGGGAGCGAAUGCCCGUGGGUUGACCUUCCCGUCUCCGUGUCGAUGUAAGUCACAACGGCUAAUUCCCUUUUCUGCUUUAAUGUUCGGAAAACUGUUGUAUCAUGUGACUAAUUGGACUUACUUGCAAUUUCAGCAAUGGCAUCAAGACGAUGCUCAUCCCACAUUCUAUCAUGUGUGGAAGCAUGUGCGGCCCGUUCGUGGCAAUCCUGAUAGGCGCUACAGGGCCUACACAAACGAGUUUGAUGUUGUCACGCAGUACCAGGUAAUUUGCUCACCAAAGUUUGUUAAGCUCACUUCCGUAUAAUGAUAGAUGAAAUAAGUAUUGUGUAAAAAUUUUUGAAGGUUGAAUGGAAACCGUACGACCGUGAGCAGCUAAGCCACAUCGUAUUUUCACCGAUGUGCUACAGAGAUAGAGAGCUGUGGAGGUGCACGACGCCAAUGAUAUUGUACUACGCCGUAGAGUUUCAUAUGCCGCAUAGGGUGAUGCGGCAGUUUGGGAGGAUGCAACCGUGCCCUCCUUUGAAAUUAUCGACUUCGCAGCAGCUGCACAGGUAUGCAGGAAUAAAUAACUAUUGGAGGUUAUUCGAUACACGAACUGAACAUGUUAUACUAAUACUUCACUAAUCUCUGAUGCAGGAUCGACCGCAGAAAGAGGUAUAAGGAGAAUGAUUGGAGGGUGAAGCAUGGUCAGUACCUCGUCAUGUGGGAGAAUAAGCAAGGAUGCGAUCCUGAAGGUGGACCGUACUGGCGACCAGGACCAAACAAUGAGUACAUACGAUGGUACUGUACUUCGACGAGAACUAAAGUGAAACCAUCUUGGAGUAAUGUGCCCAUUGAGGAUGCACCGUCUGACUUAGACGCCGACACAACUGAUGCGUACGACAUGGUGACACGCUAUGGGACACAGCCUGAGCGUGCACCUCUCCACGACUACAUGGUAAGAUUUUGGUUUGUAAUCAUAGUAUCAUAACAUUGAUCACUCAUGGAAUGAAAACUAUGCAUACAGGGACAGCAGCUUGCAAGGCUCUCAAACAAGGCGGGUGUGGUUAUGGAGCACGCCGUCGGAUCCGGUGAUGGUCUGCUUCGUCAGUUUGCAGAGGUAGAAGCCCAACCUAAUUUUCACUUAUACUCAUACUACCUCUGUAACCCUAUCAAUAUCAUAGUCGUGAAUAUAUGCUGCUUACAUGUUGCAGAGGGUUCGGAAAAACUGCAGGCGAAUGGCCAUGAGGAUGAACUGCAUGUCGUCCUCAGAUGUGCACCACGGGGGCAAUGGCCAGGGUACUUCUUCGGGAUCACGUCGGACUCCAUUGGUGACUCCCCCCAAGGCUGCAACACCGUCCACCACUGCAGGUCCUAGCAGGAGAUCACGAGGCAAGGAACCCGCAUCCCCUCAGGCAAGCGAGGACUCUGAAGGUGAGCAGUCUGAGGAUGACGACCCUACAUAUGGUGAGGAACUGGAGAUUUCUGGCAUGAUCGAUGCUCCACCUGUGACUCAGACACAGGGUGAGUCCAGCCAGGUACAUUCACAAAUUUCCCCAAAUUCAAUUCUAGAUUGUUAAUGUUCACUCCCGAAGUGUCAUACAAAUUUUAUGCUUUGUGCCCAAUUAUUCCAUAGGAACCUGCACCUCCUACCCGGAUGCCACGCCGGCGGUGUCGUUCCCGGGACCACACCGAUGUUGGCAGCGCCAAUGUGCUGCCCACGCAUGCAAGGAGGGAGCAUCGCCCAAGAGAUCCUAUUAACCCUCCGGUUGAGCGGCGGUCACGACACUGAACGUUACAUGUCUCAAGUGUGAUGCACUAGGUGUACAAUUUAUGUUAUAUGUGUGUGCAAGACUAUUGGAACUGUCACGUGUGUAAAAGACUAAGUUGGUUGUUAGGUUUAUUUCUGUCACGUGUGUAAAAGACUAAGUUGGAUGUUAGGUUUAUUUCUGUCCGUACAAUGUUAUAUGUUUGCUCCAUGACAUACUUGUGUUUCGUGUAUUUUUUCGUAAAUGUUCGCACUGGUAGGCUAUCGCGUACUAGACGAGAUACGGAAUAAUUUCGUGGUUCAAACUAGUUUAAGAAAAAUCAGAACAAAAAAAGCUAUUUAAGUUUCAUCAGCCGGAUUGCUGGGGCAGCUGAGUUGGCGGAAGUCUAGCAGCCCAGAAACCUACUGAAACUUUAAUGGAUUUGGCGCGGGAGGGCACCCCUGCCACGCCAGGCGGAGUGGCGCGGCAGCCCCCAUCCACCAAAACCUACUGAAAACUUUGUGCAAUUGGCGCGGCAGCGCACUCUUGCCGCGCCACUCUGCUUGGCGUGGCAAGCCCCUUCCCCCCCCCAAAAAAAAACCUACUGAAACUUUGUUUCGCUUGGCGCGGCAGCGCACUCCUGCCGCGCCAGGCGGAGUGGCGCGGCAAGGCCCGCCCCCCCGGAACCUACUGAAACUUUGCCAAUAUACCACACUUGCAUCUAUCACUAGGAGAGGACACACAUGGCCACGGUGCCUUUCCACUCUCGAACUCCCGCACUUGCUCCUCCGUUGGCCACAUUGCCAUUGGACCGUAUAUAUACUCAUUGAAAUCACACAACGGCCACGCAUCCUGCAAAAAAACGGUGACGUGAACUACUCAUACGUAAAGUAACUAGAAAACGCUGCUCCAACUUCCAAGCAAUAACAUCAAGUAAAAGUAUGAACAAUAUACUGCAAAAUUAUAACUGCUAGCUACACGACAUACUAAUAUUCUCAUACUAAACUUACAUGAGUCUUUAGCAAGCAUCGAAAGAAUGGAGUAAACUUAGGUGGAUCCUCUAAGUUAGGACGCAUAAGCUUAGCAGGAACACCACACUUGCAUAUGGGAGGAUCCCUCACACGCCUACAAGCAGCCUCCUGCUUCUCCUCCUCGGUCAUCCUAGGUGGGUUUGGUGGAGGAGGAACCCAACGCCUAAAUUGAUGGUAUGGUUUAAGCUCUGUACUAUGAUAUGGGAAUAGGCGGAUCCUAGGAUCAUAUUUGUCGGGUCCAUCAAUCUACUGAAAGAAAUCACAAGGUGCGGCAGGCAUUGGAUCAAAAGUCCACUUGCAUACAUAGAAGGCUCUUCCGGCUGUCUUUGGAUGACUUGAUUGUUUCACCUCUGCUUGCACGCCACAUCUACAAAGAGGUACCGGAAGGGCAGGAGGUACGGGACCAGCACCAUUGGACUCGCCCACAUAACGAACAUACCACCUACGCCGCUUGUAUUCACAACCAAACGACAUCAUCUCACCUAGACAUCAAGUGCCACAAAAUUAAUACACAAAUAAACUUUACACAUGUAAUCCAAACGAGCUAUAUACAACAUUUCGAUAAAAUGUAAACACUCCAUCUAUACAAUACAAACACUGAAACAUAUCAACUAUAGCAACUAUAUUAAGGAACAAAAAUAUGAGACAAAUUAAUUGAACAUAUAAAAAAAAUACAUGUCAUGUAAACCACACAAUUGGAUGAAUAUAUACCUAUAUCGAAAUAUUCAACAAGUUCUACACAUCAAUAUCGCGGGCAGAGACUCAAUUGCGUCUGAACUACGUAUCAUCUAACACAAAACACCAUUGCAUUUCAUUCAAAAUUGAAAUCAUCAACCUAACCCUAAGUCACCUAAACAUCCUCCGAUCUACCAAAUGCAACGGUAAAACAUGAGAAAAAGUAUGGGGAUACCUUCCACACGGAGCAGGGAUCGAUUUCCACAACUUACCCCCACCGAAAUCGCCGAAUUUUGGGUGGAGUUGGGGGUGGGGCGGCGGGGGGCAGCGCAACAAGCUAAGGGCACUGGUCUGUCUGGAGGAGGAAGAAAGGAGGAAGGGAGGAGGAAGGGAGCCGGCGCGCUGCUGUAGCGUAGGCUCUGCCGCGCCAGCCGCCAGGCGCCCGCCCACGUCAGCGCGCACCUGGCGCGGCGAGUCACCGCGCCAGCGUGGCAAGGCCCACCGCGCCAGUGCAUGCGACGCGGCAGAGGCUGCCUGCCGCGCCAGGCGGUCUGGCACGGCCAAAAGGGUUAUCUGCCGCAAAUAUAGUCCCGCGGAGGUUAUUUUUAAAAUAAAUAAAAAAAGGUUAAAAAAAAAGAGAACAAAAAGAAUCAAGUCAGAUUACGGAGAGGUUCGAGUGACUUAAUUUAUUAAAGGACCACUUCACUGGACGGAUCUCCUAAUAUCCAACCUAAUUUUAAUUAUGAAAUAAUUGAAGCAUAUCGAUCUGUCAUGAACAACAAUUAUAUCAGGAUUGAAUUAGAAGCCACUGUUGAAAUUGCAAAUGACCAUCAACCAAACCUUAUUAUUAUAAGAUAACAGUAGUAAAACUGGCUUCUUUUUUCUUGUCUGUAAGAUGCUCUACUGGUGUAUCAUCAUAAGAAAAAAAUCCUAAGAAUGGUAGUGAAGAUGAGCAGUAGUACCAGAGGUCGAUUUACCUAUUUGAUAGCCCUUUGCCACCUGUAGAGCUCUAGUGCACUGAUUGUUUCCUUCUGUGUUUCAUCCUGGGCAACAACAGGAAAAUUGUCAAAGGAUCAUAAAUAAAAACAAACACACAAUGCAUGUUGUUAAUAUUACUAUUGGAAAACUAAUAAAAUGUCAAGCAGUAGUAAUUUCAAGUGGCAAUAGCAGGAAAAUUGUCAAAGGAUGAUAAAUAAAAACAAACACACAAUGCAUGCUGUUAAUAUUAAACUCUAAAUCUUUGGAUUUCAUUCCAUCAUCUUGACUUUCCAAUAUCACAACAUCAUUUGAAUUUUCUUCAGUGACAUGAUUUUGUACAGAAUUGAUACCAAUUUCUGCUGUGUUUGUUUUUCUCAUGCACUGGAGUCACAAUCACAAGUCAUUGAUGCAAAUGAAAAGAGAAGGAAAAGAGAUAGAGAGCGUUAUGCCCAAAUGACAGAUGAAGAAAAGCAGGAUAAACUGAAAAAACAACGUGAAGCCUAUCAUAGAAGGAAAGGUAGAGAUGCAACACGGUACCAAAAAAAUACGCAAAAGAGAGACAGAAAUAUGCAAAUAUGCAGCUAGAACAAAAGAAAGCUAGAAUAGAACAAGCCAUAACUAACCGUGAAAUGAGGAGCAGCAAAACAACGAAAGGUUCAAUUGCAAUGGAGAAUCCUGCAUAUAUUGAAACAGAUAUGUUAGUUGAAGUCAGUACAUCUAGCCUUAAUGUUAAACACAGGAAACAUGUGACGCCAGGAGAAAGGCAAACAUUGCUAGCCCGUCAAAAUCAAAAAAUCAUAAAAAAACAAAAGGGGACAGUUUAUUCAUCAUCAGAAGAAGAUGAAACCAUGAGCGAAGAGGACAAUGACAUAGAAAUGCAAAAACAGGCAAAAAUCAUGAAUCUCGGUAAUAUUCUAAAUUCUAAACAAAACUUUCGCAUUUCAAUACAAUAUAUGGAAUACUUUAACAUUUGAAUAGACUACAUACAUCCAUAUAUUGUACUAACAAUCUCAAUCAAACAGAAAUACCCUCUUCAGUAUGGACAACCAUAGAAGGCAUUGAUGCCCCAAAACAACUAACAAAUGAUGAAGAUAAGGGUAAGGUUAUCAACUCCAAAGUAAAUUCUCACAUGAUACAAAAGAAACAAAAAUAUGUAUUCACAAAAAUCUGUACAGAUAAUGAUGGAGUGAUAUUUGAACAACACACGAACGAGGAUGAUUACAUGUUCUCAUGUCAAGGUAUGCUUCAAUACUUUUAAAAAAAUCCUUCCAUCAUUAUGUUAAUACUUUCCUAAAUUUUUUAUAUAAAAAAAAUUCAACAAAAUUGGACACAGAUGUAGAUAUCGAAGUCAGAGAAGAUGAAGAAACUGCUACAACGAUCUCAGAUCCAUAUGACAUUGUCUACAGCAACAUACCAGACGACACAAACAUGCUGAAAAAUAAAGAAAAUUGCAUAUACUGUAAUGCAAAGAAAUUUGAGUACGAAUCUGAGGGGUUAUGCUGCAGAAAAGGACAGAUUAGAUUAGCCAAUCAAGAGACACCUCCUGAACUCAUGAGACUUUGGACAAGCAACGAUUCUGAUGCAAGACAUUUUCGGAACAAUAUAAGAUUUUUCAAUGGACACUUCUCAUUUACAUCUCUUUAUUGCCACCUAGACAGUGCGACCACUAACAUGAAAAAAGCUGGUAUUUACACCUUUCAUGUAUCACAAUAUACAAUCAUUUGGAAAUAGUCGCUCAGAUCCAAAGCAUCUAGAGUUGUACUUCUACGACGAUGAUCCAAGCCUAGAGCAUUAGUAUCGAUGUUGCCGUGAAGAAAAGUACAAGAAAGACAAACAUGUAGUCACAAUUUUAACACAAAUUCUACGUGAAAACCCAUACUCUAAACAGUUUAGAAGUUUGGGACAGAAUGAAAAACUUGAUGACUACAGGCUGAUCUUGAACCUUGACCAAAGAUUAGACCAAAGAACAUACAAUGCACCAAUAACUUUAGAGGUAGCUGCAGUGUGGAUCGAGGGAAAUGAAAGAAGAAAUACCUUUGACAAGAAUGUAAUACUACAUGGAAACAACAACGAAAUACAAGGCAUCAAAUCAUACUAUGGCUGCUAUGAUCCAUUGUCUUAUCCUCUAUUCUUUCCAAGAGCUGAACUCGGUUGGCAUUGAAAUAUCCCAAGGGCCAAUACAAUAUUGGAAGAAUUGAGAAAUGAUAAUGUUGAUCGCAACAAUAGUGACAACGACCCAGGUUAGAAUUUCAUAUACUUUUGUCUUCUAAAUUUAGUUUACUAAUAUGAAACAACUACAUAAAUAUUCCUCUAACUUUAGCGUUCCAAUUCUUACACAGAUUCAAGCCGUAAGCUGUGGGUAACCAUGAGAGAAUAUUACUGCUAUAAAUUCCAUGCAAAACCAAGCAUAUUCAACCCAAUAUUGCAUGGUGGUAGACUUUUUCAGCAGUUUGCCGUUGAUACACACAUCAAGAUUGAGAGCUCCAGAUUGGACUUCAUAUGGCAUCAUCAGAAAGAAAUAAGGGCAGAUCUAUACAAAGGCCUCCUGGAUAGCAUUCAAGAAGGAGAACAAAAGGGAGAUAAAGUAGGAAAAUGAACGGUGCUAGCAUCAUCGUUUAUUGGAGGGCCAAGAGAUAAAUUGCGACGAUAUCUAGAUGCUAUGGCUUUAGUAAGCAAAUAUGGAAAGCCAGACAUAUUCCUAACAAUGACCUGCAACCCAAACUGGGAAGAGAUCACCCGAGAACUAGAGUUUGCACAAACACCUCAAGAUCCCCCAGAUCUCGUGGUUAGGGUUUUCGGGGCAAAACUGGAAGAAAUGAAGAAUCAAUUGUUUAAAAAGCACAUUCUUGGAAAGGUAAAGGCAUAUACCUAUGUUGUAGAGUUCCAAAAGAGAGGCCUACCUCAUGCACACUUCUUGCUGAUAAUGACCGGAAAAUACAAGUAUACAUGUCCAGAGCAAUAUGACAGAAUAAUCUAUGCCGAGCUGCCAGACAAGCACGAGUAUCCAGAUCUAUAUAAAAUGGUCAUCAAACAUAUGAUGCAUGGUCCUUGCGGCAUAUUAAACAGAAAUUGCCCUGCACAAAGAAUCGAGCAUCUUGCAAAAAUAAUUAUCCAAGACCAUUUAAUGAAACUACAAUUCAAGGCAAGGACUCCUACCCAUUGUAUAGAAGACGAAAUGACGGUCGCACUGAAACAGUCCGGAACUGUAAACUAGAUAACAGAUGGGUUGUUCCUUACAACCCAUACCUAUUGCACUUUUUCAACUGCCACAUAAAUGUUGAGGUAUGCUCAAGCAUUAAAGCCGUUAAGUAUCUGUUCAAAUACAUCUACAAGGGACAUGACCGGGCCUCUGUAUCUGUAACUGGAGUAGAUGAUGAAGGAGAAAUUGAUGAAAUUAGACAGUACAAAAACGCACGGUGGGUUACACCUCCAGAAUUAAGCAUGCAAGUGCUGAGAGCCGAUAUAUAUCUUUGACUCUAUUGGAAGUGUUUGAAGUGAGCAAUACAUCAUUUUAUAUAAAUCCAAUCCAUUAGAUCACAUUAAAAUUCAUGAGACAAGUCUCUCUGUCCCCGUUAAGUCAUAUAUGAAGGGUCAAAACAAACAGGUAUAAAAAACAUUGACUAGUACAUAAACCGUAUGUAUAAUUGGUGGUAGGUUUGCCGGUAUGUAAAAGUUAUAUUGUUUAUGCGGAUCUAUCUAUUUAUACCUAUAGUAAUCACAGAUGCUCUAGAAAAUCCCACGUCAACGAGAAAGAGAAAAUAUCUAGCCAUUGAUCCAUCGUGGCCCCCUUUUUAGCCGUUCAGAUUUAAAAAAGUACAAUUAGUUAUUAGUUACUUGCAUUUGGUUAACUUUGCUAGGUUGUUCUAAGGAUAAUAGGUGCAAAUGGACCGUGGGGCCACUGGUGGACGUGCGUUCCUUGACAGGGCAUGCCUACACGAGAACUAAGGAAGACCGGCUGUGUGGACGUGGAGGAUGUGAUAUUACACGAUGCUGGAAUAUGGACGGUUGCCACGUUAAUCCUCGGGUACAAAUUAGAAUUCAUUACAAUCUUUAGGAAAAAUAUGUACGGAUGUAUGAUCCGUUAGAGGAAAAAGUGAAUAGGAUGGACCAAAAUGUUGGAUCCUUUGUUGGAAAAAUGAUUUGAAUUUUGGCAAUGUGAGUAAGGAUUUCCUUGGUUUUGAGAGAGAGCCAAAUAGGAUUACAUUAUUUGUUAAUGUUCGUCUCAUAUUGAUUUUCAACCUUAAAAAAAUGAUGCACUAUUUCAACUACAAUCACAUUAAACGAAAAAUAAAAUUCGAUCCAUCUUGGCCUCUCGAGCUAUGUGAGUAGGAGAACAGCAUAGCAAAGAUAAACGAUCUAAUUAAUCUUCCUAGGAAGAGCUUUGAACUCUUGGAAACAACAAAAUGAAAUCAUGCAAUUCGAUUGGCAAAGUGACAAUACAUCAUCGGUACAAUGAUCAAAAAUAGCGAUUCUUGGCGAGGUACAAAUGUAUGAUCCAUUGUUGGGAAAGCAAAUAAGACGGACUAAACUUUUUGUCACAUUGAUUUUCAGCCACUAAAAAAAGCGAUGAGGUAAGAUAGUCAUUUGUUUCUAAAUACACAGUACAACAUAGUCAUUGUUUCUAGUCCGUUGCGGUGCGGUGAGAUAAGAAUAAAUAAUCACAUGACAAGACAUGGCAUGGCAGGCUAUGACGCAACAUCAUGACUAGGGAACACCAAAAGCACCAAGGAAGAUGAACAGAUUCUUGCCGAUGUCCCAUCAUAGAGCAAAUAAAGCAGGAUAAAAGGGGAUUGAUCUUCGAACUAGAAAAUAGGGGAUCGAUCUUUCCAUUGAUCUUACAAAUAAAAGAUAACAGCAUAGCAAAGAUGGCCAGGGUUCCAACAAAAUCUAAAUCUAAAAUUACUAAUUAACAGCAUAGCAAGAUAACAGCUGGCCAGGGUUCCAACAAAAUCUAAAUCUAAAGUUAUUAAUUAACAGCAUAGCAAAGAUAACAGCAUUGAUCUUCCACUAGCGCGGCUUGCUCACUCCAUUCACCCCUCAUUCCCGGCCAUGACGUGGUGGCGGCUCCACUUCUUAUGGUUCUCGCCCCUCAGGGGGUGGACCCAGAAUGUGGUCCUUGACCUCAUUCAGGAUCCCCCACCGAUGCCUCGUUCCAGGGUAGACAGGGCACGCGAAGGUGUUGUCAGCGCGGUGAAAGACGCGUAGAGCAUCACCCCGGGGGAAGGGCGUGUGGUAGUCGCGGCGCCAGUCGUCAGAUGAGUCCGUCAGUUUGGGAGUCGGAGUCGAACCCAUCAGCUGGAAGGGUCACAAUCAAGGUCAACUCUUGAUGCGGUGAUGAGGGCGUGAGGGUGGAGGAAGCCGCCCCCACUGUCGGAGGAGCCCGGGAACGCACCGGGGAGCCCACAAUAGCUCCGCAGCGACCAUCCACGAGCGAUAGCAGGUUGAGGUCGGCGGCGUUGGAGCGCGAUCCCGACGACGAGUGCAAUGGCCACCCAAGGUCACUGGCGUCAGAGUGGGAUACCGACGAGGAAGCACCGCCGUAACGGGACGACCCCACUGCGUGGACGUAGCGCCAUAGCGCUGCCGUGAAGUUGCGGGCAGUGGCGCGGCAGUAGCACGGCGACAACCCGCCACAGGAGCACGACGACGAUGAGGGGGACCUUUAGUCCUGAAUGAUUAGUUUCGGUUGAUUUUUCGAGAGAUACGAGGCUUACCAAGCAGAACUAAUGCUCAUAUUUUCCAGAAUCAAUGCUCAUAUUUCCACUAGUGAGUGCAAGGUUCCCUCGACGCAUAAGACGAUUUAUCCACCGUGGUUCCUAACCACAAGUAGAAAUGCACACAUUUACUAGGGGCGGUUCCUUAAGAGAAGUGUAUUUUCCAGGGGCAGUUCCUUAAGAUAAGUACCGAUAGAAAUCUGGCAGUGUUCAGGUACAGUGCGCGAAAGCAACUGCUAGUGACUGUAGAUAACGAUAUCCAUCGAUAGAAAUAAAGGCUAGUAUCACAUCUAAAAACUAGCUUUGAUGUUCAGCUCAGAUCCGUGCCUCUAACUUUUCGUGCUCAUUAUAUAAAUCAUAAAUUUCCUAAAAAAUUAACAAAAUCGUGCAUAAAAAUCCAGAAUGUUUAUCAAAAGGUAAGAUUCAAAUCAGUGGUAGAUGUUCAGGAUUAAAUACUUUCUUACUCCACAUAUUUUUGUUAGGUGAGGAGGCAUUGCAAGUUUGCAACUGUUGAAUGAAAUCCGUACUUCGAUGGAACUAGGAGGUAGUUGGUUUGAAGUAUAUACCAUUUAGAUAUCCAAUAAUCCUUCCUUUUAUUUCAAUAAAAAUAUUGGUUCCACGAUCAUCUAGGAGUAUGGUCUUGUACUCUCUUCUUGUUCGAGCUUUAUGUGAAUCCAACCCUAUGGAGCCAUCAAGAUAGUAACUAUACGGGAGUGAUGAGAAGUUAAAGGGAUGAUUGAGAUAAGACAUGUGGCAUCCAUCAAGAUAGGGAUCCUCCAUGGAACUGAAUUCAAUGCUUGAUAUCGAACCUGUCCUGAAGAUGAAAAGUUUCUCUAUAAAUUUAGACGUCCUAAACUUCAAUUCUUGUGCACACAGAAUCUACUCGCAGUCGUAGGCUCGUAGCUUAUAGACAAAUGACAUUGCAAGCAAUGGCGUUGCCCUACUUGCAAGAACUUGUCAUCUCCACACUUCUCGUUGUAUCAUUGUGCAUGUACAUUAAGUUCUGGAGGCUGAGAAACCCGUUGUACCCCAUGGACUGGCCGGUUGUGGGCAUGCUCCCUUCCCUCGUUGCCAAUCUCCACAACUUCCACGACGUACUCACUGUCUUCCUUGCCACCAACGGGUGUAACUUCAAGGCGCGAGGGCCGGUAGCAAGUGGCAUGCGGUUCUUCGUCACCGCUGAACCGGCAAACGUCCGGCACAUCUUCACCUCCAACCAUGCAAACUACCCCAAGGGCGAGGAUUUUGCUGAAAUCUUCGACAUCUUUAGCGGCACCCUCUUCACCAUUGAUGGUGAGGCCGGCCGCCAGCAGAGAGCCAUGUUCCAGAACAUCUUCAGCAAUCCACGGUUACUUGCCUUGAUGGCAAGUUGCUGCCGUGACAAGGUGGUGAACGGACUCCUCCCGUUCUUGACCCGCAUGGGGAGCACCAGGACAACGUUCGACAUGCAGGAUUUGAUCACAAGGUUGGUGUUCGACCUUACUGCCACGCCGAUCUUCGGUGUCGACCCGGGUUGCCUGUCCAUCAGCAUGCCGUCUAUCCAUGUUGCAACCGCCAUGGACACGUUCAUGGAGGUCGGCUUAUUCCGGCACACCAUACCGGCUUGUUUCUGGAAGGUGAUGAGACGGCUAAACAUCGGUCCAGAGAGGAAGCUGGCCAUGGCGCAAACAGUGAUGCAUGCUUUCAUCAGGGAGAUGACUGAGAAGUCGAAAGCCAGGUGCACCGAUAUCCUUGAUGAUGUGUUGGCCAUGGACAUUAUUUCUGCUAACCCAUCAGUGGGCAGAGACGAUGUCCUACUACGUAAUGUACUCAUCGCUCACAUGAUCGCCGGGCGGGACACGGUUGGUACCACGCUACCGUGGGUAUUCUACAACCUCGCCAGGAACCCCCGUGUGGUCUCUUGCAUCCGCAAGGAACUGGCACCCAUCGCAUCACUCAAGGCCACUGCUCUCGCCUCCAAUAGCAUCAGCAGUAUGGUCGUCUUUGAUCCAAAGGAGACUGAACACCUAGUCUACCUUCAGGCAGCCUUAUUGGAGUCGCUCAGGUUGUACCCACCAGGCCCGAUCGAGCGCAAGGUGGUGCUAGCCGACGAUGUGCUCCCAAGUGGUCACCAGUUGUGCUCCGGUGAAACCAUCCUGAUCUCCAUCUAUGCCAUGGGUAGAAUGGAAUCCCUGUGGGGCAAGGAUUGCCAUGUGUACCGUCCGGAGAGGUGGCUGUCCGAGGACGGUGCUAAACUGCGUUACGUGCCGUCCAAUAAAUUCAUGGCGUUUAACACAGGGCCGAGGAUGUGCCUUGGCAAGGACAUAGCAAUUGCGCAGAUGAAGACCAUCGUUGCCGCGGUGGUGUGGAACUUUGAUAUGGAGGUGUUGGAAGGGCAGAGCAUCGAGCCAAAGCUGUCGUGCAUUCUUCAAUUGAAGAACGGGCUCAUGAUGAUGGUUAAGCAGAGAGAGUAAUCAAUGUGACAUGGAAUAAGCUAGGUGCAAUGCAACUACAGAUCGACUCAGUCCUAGCAUAUAUGGUUUGAACAAAAUAGUUAAAUCCAAACUUAUAAUGAAGUAAAUGGAGGCGUAACAUGUAUUUUCGUCAUUAAAUAAAGUCUACGGACGCCGUCGUUUGACCAUCUGAAAGCUGGGACCAUACCCAACUACAGACUCUUUGAUUUCAGUACGGAUAGUUUGUACUACUCCCUCUUUCUAAAUAAGUGAUGUUUUCAGAUUAUCUUAAGCUUAUUUGAAACUUUGAUGGCAUAUUAAUUGUUUUUCUAUGUGUAAAAGGUUUGGAUAAAUUUAUACAAGUAUAUUUAUGUUUAAUAGUAACUUCAUCAAAAGCAUCCGUUCACUUUAUGAAUAUUUUGUAACAAAAACUAGCCAUCACAGUUAUGUUUUUGAGGUAAUUUCAAUAUCAAAAACUUCAUUUAUGAGACCGGAGGAACUAACAUACAAAUACAAUGAAUGUAAAUACAAUAUGCCCUCCGGUGUCCUGGACUUCAUAAAUUGUAUCUGCAAUACUCAAGAGUUAAACGAAAGAGGGCGAUGUCAAUUUGAGUGUAUCUAAAGAGACUUAAAACAUUCAAAUGAUGAAUAUAAAUUGUAUCAAAUCAUAGUCCCUAUUAUACUUAUGUAAUUAGUACAAUUUAUUUAAGUUGGAACAUACCUUUUUUUUACCGUGUCUUGAUCCAAGUGCGCACGUGGGUUUUGCAUGUUUUUCCUGGUAGGAGGCACCUGACUAAUGCGGUGUCUGGAAGUUGUAUUAGGACACAAAGCGGACUGCGAUACACCAAUAUAUAUAUACAUGCAUAAUAAGUAAACAAUAUGCAAGCCAUACAAUACGUUGAGUUUCCAGGAAAACACCCCUCGAUACAAUCUGAGGUAACAGGCCCCUAGAUACAACUGUUAUUUUUUUUAUAGAAAUGCCAUUGUUGCUUAUAAUUCUUGACACGUACUGUGAUUAUGCUGAAUGUAGAUUCCUUGAGGAUCCUAUCGACGUCAACCAUUGCCACUGCCUGGAGCCGCAAGUCGUGGUAGAGUACUGAAUUAUGUUGGUGAACAAACCUGGAACAUGGACACCAAUUCGACAGGUUGAAUAGCAGAGCCCUCUUAUUUUUAAGAGAACAAAAAAAAUCAAGUCAGAUUACGGAGAGGUUCGAGUGACUUAAUUUAUUAAAGGACCACUUCACUGGACGGAUCUCCUAAUAUCCAACCUAAUUUUAAUUAUGAAAUAAUUGAAACAUAUCGAUCUGUCAUGAGCAACAAUUAUAUCAGGAUUGAAUUAGCAGUCACUGUUGAAAUUGCAAAUGACCAUCAACCAAACCUUAUUAUUAUAAGAUAACAGCAGUAAAACUGGCUUCUUUUUUCUUGUCUGCAAGAUGCUCUACUGGUGUAUCAUCAUAAGAAAAAAAUCCUAAGAAUGGUAGUGAAGAUGAGCAGUAGUAGCAGAGGUCGAUUUACCUAUUUGAUAGCCCUUUGCCACCUGUAGAGCUCUGGUGCAGUGAUUGUUUCCUUCUGUGUUUCAUCCUGGGCAACCACAGGAAAAUUGUCAAAGGAUCAUAAAUAAAAACAAACACACAAUGAAUGCUGUUAAUAUUACUAAUGGAAAACUAAAAAAUAUCAAGCAGUAGUAAUUUCAAGUGGCAACAACAGGAAAAUUGUCAAAGGAUCAUAAAUAAAAACAAACAGACAAUGCAUGCUGUUAAUAUUAGACUCAAAAUCUUUGGAAUUCAUUCCAUCAUGUUGACUUUUCAAUAUCACAACAUCAUUUGAAUUUUCUUCAGUGACAUGAUUUUGUACAGAAUUGAUACCAAUUUCUGUUGUGUCUGUUUUUCUCAUGCAGUGGAGUCACAACCACAAGUCAUUGAUGCAAAUGAAAAGAGAAGGAAAAGAGAUAGAGAGCGUUAUGCCAAAAUGACAGAUGAAGAAAAGCAGGAUAAACUGAAAAAACAAUGUGAAGCCUAUCAUAGAAGGAAAGGUAGAGAUGCAACACAGUACCAAAAAAAAUACGCAAAAGAGAGACAGAAAUAUGCAAAUAUGCAGUCGGAACAAAAGAAAGCUAGAAUAGAACAAGCCAUAACUAACCGUGAAAUGAGGAGCAGCAAAACAACGAAAGGUUCAAUUGCAAUGGAGAAUCCUGCAUAUAUUCAACAGAUAUGUCAGUUGAAGUCAGUACAUCUACCCUUAAUGUUAAACACAGGAAACAUGUGACGCCAGGAGAAAGGCAAACAUUGCUAGCCCGUCAAAAAAAAAUUCAUGAAAAAAUAAAAGGGGACAGUUUAUUCAUCAUCAGAAGAAGAUGAAACCAUGAGCGAAGAGGACAAUGACAUAGAAAUGCAAAAACAGCCAGAAAUCAUGAAUCUCAGUAAUAUUCUAAAUUCUAUACAAAACUUUCGCAUUUCAAUACAAUAUAUGCAAUACUUUAACAUUUGAAUAGACUACAUACAUCCAUAUAUUAUACUAACAAUCUCAAUCAAACAGAAAUACCCUCUUCAGUAUGCACAACCAUAGAAGACAUUGAUGCCCCAAAACAACUAACAAACGAUGAAGAUAAUGGUAAGGUUAUCAACUCCAAAGUAAAUUCUCACAUGAUACAAAAGAAACAAAAAUAUGUAUUCACAAAAAUCUGUACAGAUAAUGAUGGAGUGAUAUUUGAACAAGACACGAACGAGGAUGAUUACAUGUUCUCAUGUCAAGGUAUGCUUCAAUACUUUAAAAAAAUCCUUCCAUCAUUAUGUUAAUACUUUCCUAAAUUUUUUUAUAUAAAAAAAUUCAAAAGAAUUGGACACAGAUGUGGAUAUUGAAAUCAGAGAAGACGAACAAACUACUACAAAGAUCUCGGAUCCAUAUGACAUUGUCUACAUCAACAUACCAGACGACACAAACAUGCUGAAAAAUAAAGAAAAUUGCAUAUACUGCAAUGCAAAAAAAAUUGAGUAUGAAACUGAGGGGUUAUACUGCAGAAAAGGACAGAUUAGAUUAGACAAUCAAGAGACACCUCCUGAACUCAUGAGACUUUGGACAAGCAAUGAUUCUGAUGCAAGACAUUUUCGGAACAAUAUAAGAUUUUUCAAUGGACACUUCUCAUUUACAUCUCUUUAUUGCCACCUAGACAGUGAGACCACUGACAUGAAAAAAGCUGGUAUUUACACCUUUCAUGUAUCACAAUAUACAAUCAUUUGGAAAUAGUCGCUCAGAUCCAAAGCAUCUAGAGUUGUACUUGUACGAUGAUGAUCCAAGCCUAGAGCAUCGGUAUCGAC